rnacentral:lncRNA from 1 species
AUUUUCUCCAGCCACAAGAUCUGGUCUUAUAACCCAUAAAAAGGUUUUGUUGCUAUUACCAAGUCCCCAUGCAAACUCAACCAGUUGCGCACUAGUCACAACUGUGAUGCUCCCAAAAUUCACAUAAACAACACUAUUAGGCUCUUUGGUGUUGAGCCACUCCAUGCACUCAGAAUCCUCCUUCCAAAGAUUGGACUCAAUUGCAUUCAAUUCUUUGUCAUCAACAUUCUUCAAAAGUAAAUUCAAAGGACCAAUGGAAUAAACUGGAGGCAAGAUAGACGAUAACGCUUCCAACACAUCAUGUUCUAAGGUAUCAAACGUGUUCAAGAUUAUUGCAGAAGCUCUUGGAGCAUUCUUGCACUCCGAUCGAAAGUAAUUGAGCAUAAUAUCAUCUGAAUCUGUUGUUCUAAUGAAACUAGGAAUGUCCUUCAAUUGAAUUUCCUUGAUGCCUGGUAUCCAAUCAAUGGUAGUCUCCAAAUACCCGUUUGUCACAUCGCUUGAGUCUACAUAUCAAACUCACAAAAGUUAAUUUAUUAAAUCUAAAUAAUAUAAAUACCAAACAUAUAAAAAUCCACGUACAUGUAAGAGUAAUGAUAUUUUGAAAGUCUAUAUUUUGUACAUUAUUAUAUUACUAUAAUAAAAUUGUCGAAUAAUUUUAUAAGAAAUAAGAAUUAUUAAAAUAUCAUUAUUUCUAAUUUAAUAAAAUUCUAUUUGACCUGCUUUGUCUUCCAUGAAUGGAAAAAACUGAAAAUCUUUAUUCAUUUUAUUUAAGAAUAGGUUGACAACUUGGUCAACCGGAAAUAAAAUAAAAUAAUUCAUAAAAUAUACCCAAAUAAAUAAGUUUAAUUGAGAAUUUAAAAUUACUCUCUUGAAUAAAUGAAAACAUUAAUUCAUAAAAUGAGUAUGGUACAAAUCGUUUUUAAUGGUAACAUGGAUCAUCAUUAAAACAAGAUAAAAAAUUUGUUGAAACUAUAAACCGUAAAUAACAUAUAUUUAACACUGUUUAUAAUAACAUUAAAAAAUAAAAUAAAAUAAAAAUGAAUAAAAUAUUAAUUUAUUAAGGUGUGAAUUUAAAAGAAAUACAAGUGAAGGUAAAUUACCUUUGAGAGGUGUUAUGCCCUUUCGAAAUAAUUGUUCGUAUUGGAGAUAACACAUGAAGCCACAUGCACUAGUUGUCCAAAAGAGGACCUCAGGGAGACCCAAUUCUUGAGCUGCAUCAAGAGUGAAGGUCAUGACACCGUCAGAAACUAUGCAACUCACUGGAGGGCCAUCUGAGUUGUUCAGUUUAGCGAGAAGCUUUCUGAAGUGAGGGAGGCAAGUUCUUACGGUGGACUCACAGAGGGAAGGAAUAUCCUGUGUGGCAUCCACAUCGGAGUCGGGUAGACCAUCGGGGAUGGUUUCAAAGCGAAAUGAAGAGAGAGCAUGAAGGGAAGAACUCCCUCUGGAUUUCAGAAGGCGUUUCUGGUUAUACUCAGAGUUAACGAAGGUGAUGUGAAAGCCUUUCAAGUGAAGGAGUUUUGCUAGUUUAAGCAUUGGGUUUAUGUGACCCUGUGCUGGGUAAGGAAUGCACACGGCAUGGGGCUUCUUCGUUGUGCCCAAAGAACCCAUCUUUGUUAUCUCUUCCUUAGACUGUGGUUCUAAUAUCCAAAAGAAUAUGCAAGUGGUAGCUACACCUUACUCGGUUAUCAAAUGCUUCAUUUUAUAGAGGAGAGACGGCGGUGCUUGUUUUCAAAUUAAUGUUGCUAUUUACUUCUACAGAACAACUGUGGGAGAGGUCGGUUAUAAACGUCAUUUUUUUAGUAAUAUUUUAAGAGUUAUGAUAUUUUCAUCUUACAACCACAAUACAUAAUAAUAUUUAUAAUAAAAAAAUUAAAGAAAAAAAAUUCUUAAUAAAAAUACAAACAAAAUACAAAAUGUUUUAAAAUUAAAAAAAUUAUAAAUUUUUAUAAAUAAUUAAAAUAUUAAUAUUUAUUAGCGGUGUAGGUGAAGUAUGACUGUAAAAUAAAUAUUUUUAAUACUUUAAUACAGAACCAACUUUAAAAUAAUAUUUUUAUUUAUAAAUAUCUAUUGUUACUGUUAGAGAUAAUUUUUCGUAUUGCUUUGUCAAUUGUAUUGUUUGAGAUUGUUUUGGUAGAUGAUGAAUACAGGUAGUAUACAUGCACAAAAGAAUACUAUAAUAAAAAUAAUAUAAAACAUGAGGGUGGAAAAGAAUAUGCAAGUGGUAUCUUCAGCUGAUCAAAUGUCUGAUUUUAUAGAGGAAAGAAGAAGGUGGUUGUUUUCAAAUUAAUGUUGUAGGUCUGGCUCACUCAGGACAAAUAUAUGGGAAAGGUGGGGCUUUAUGUCAUGGUAUUGAUUGAUGUACGAGCUGGAGGUGGUGGGUUUUGUGAAUUUGUAUAGGAAAAUAAUUGUGUAGAUAAGAAUUAAGGAUUUAGAAAAUAAUUUUAGAAUAAAAGUAGUCUAAUUAGAACGGUAUUUGAUAUUUGAAUAUUUUUAUUAAAGUGAAAAAUUUAAAUAUUUUGAAAAAUUAAUUAUUUAAGUUUUAAUUUUAAUAAUUAUUAUUUUUUUAGAAAAGUUAUUUUGUUUUAAUUAUUUUAAUAAUAAUUAAGACGGGUCACAAGUUUUAAAAUUCUAUUGCAUAGUUUGUUUUGUUAAUUGAAAUAAAUAUUAUUUGGUAAAAAUAGUUUGAAGUUUAAAUAAUUGAUAAGUAGUUGACUAUUUAAAUUUAAAUUGAUUGUGAUAUGUAUUUCAAAGUUAAGUUUUGAUUUUUAUUUGUCAAAACACUAUAAAAAAUAAUUUUAAACAACAAUUAAAAAUCUUUACUAGGCUUUAGACAAAAAGUUUCUAGUAGUGGUUUAGGUAGUCAAGAGUUAUACUAAUAAGCCACAGUUUUUUCACUUAUGCAAAAUUUAAAAACCGUUGCUUAAAAUACGACAAUGGACAACACUCUUAGAACCACUAUGGUGCAAUAAUUUUUUGGUGUUGCUUAUUCUUUAAGCCACAUUGAUAAAAUUGUGUACGAAAUUGUGUACGUUAUGUUUAGGCAAGGAUUAUAAAACUAUUGUCUAUAGUAAUAUAGUAAUCUAUGAAUCAUAGACAACACUUUUUCAAAUGUAAAAAUAUAGAAUACAACAAUUUAAAUAGACUUUACAAUAUUAUUUUAAAUUUUGUUUAUAUAUUUAGGUGACCUUAUUCUAAAUCAUAUAUUAAAGUUUUUUUUAAAGAUAUUAAAUAAAAUAAAUGUAUUUUAUUAAUGUAGUGGAAAUUAAAUAAAUUUGAAAUUAUUAAUUAAAAUACUUAUACUGGAAUUUAAAAAUAUUUGCAAUUACUAUGAAUGUUAUCAACAAACUGCUAAAUGAAAGUGACACCCUCAUAAAAAUAAAAAAGAGAUAAUCCUAUUUCUAAUUGAAUGGAUAUCAUAAAUAGUAUAUCAAGAAAAUUCAUAUUCACAUAGCUAUUCCAAAACUAUAUAUUUUAGUAAGUCUCAAUGUAUAAAGUCUCAUUGUAUUUGUUGUUGAUAAAACUUUCUAAAUUAGAGCUAUUAUAAAUUCAAUGAACAAAACAUGCAACAUGAAUUUUUCUACCCCUCAUCUCUUAUUUUAAUAUCAUCAUUCUUUAUCAUGAUCUUCAUCCACAAGCAAAAAAAAAAAAAGUUGUCACGUUAUAAAAUAAAGAAUUUAGAAAUGAAUAAUUCCAUAUUUAUGGCUUAUGUCACUUUUGGGAUUUGCUUCUUUCACUUAUAGUUUUUCUCUUGGUUUCCUAUUAUGAUUUAAAAUGAUGUAUCUCACAUAUAACACACUUAUGAUAAAUCGUGGCCAAUUAAAAAUCAAAAUGAGAUCGAUCAAAUUAUUAGGAGUAAUUAUCAAUGGUACAAGUCAUUCAUUGUUCUACCAAAGCCAUUGAUAAAAGAGAGAUUCUUUAAUGUAAAAAUACACUACCUCUUAAUCUUAAAAUGCAAUGAAAAAAAUAAAGCCACUUCUCUCUUCAUACACACAACAAAUAUUUAGUAGUAUUUGUUAGAAUAGUUAGCCAAAAAUAAGAGGGGUGAAUUGUUUUUCAAAAAUAACAGUUUUAAAAAUAAACCUUUUUAAAACAGUAGAAAAGCUUAACUAAUUUUAACAUGUUUCUAUGAAUAAUGCAUUGUAAAGAAAUAAACCAAAAUACAUCAAAAUCUACCUAGACACAGAUACACACAUAUUGUGCCUUCUAAUCUUCAAUGUAGAAUUUGAGAACAUCAAACAAAGUAGUGACUUUGAUCUUUGAGGUUAACAAACUCCCCAUAUUUGAUAAAGACAAAUCUUGAGUGACAAUGUGACAUAUUUUGAUGAGAAAACCCUGCAAAAAUAAAAGAACAUGCAAUCAGAGAACCACAAGACCAUACAAAUCAUAUAGUAUAAAACCAGUACACUGUAGCAUAAAAAAAAAUACAAAAACACACAACACAUAUUACUCCCUCUUUGUCUUCAACAAAUUGAACACAAAACAAAAGAAAAAGAAACAAACAUACCAAAAAGCAUAAAUAUUAAAAGUGUUCUUAGUGCAUAAAAUAAAGAAGGAAAAUGUUGGUUGAACAUCCGCUUAUCUAGUUGCUCAAGUGUACAACUGCCCAGGUGGCAAAAAAGUAAUAUUUAAUUGUUGUGGCAGGGCCCACAAUUUUUUUUUGAAAAUGUUUAAUCUUUGGUCCAAAUUUUCAUUAGGGUUAGGGGAAUUUGGGAUUUACAUUUAGUUGUACUCUCCCUCUUCCAAUUUCUUCUUCUUUUGGUCUCGUGGUUCUCUAGUGCAACAUUCUCUCUUUCAAUUUCUUCUUCUCAACGGUCACAUGGUUCUCCAGUGCACCGUUUCCUCUUUCACUUUCUUUUUCUAUUGGUUUCCUGUACCGUGGUUUCGUGCUCUUCUUCUUCGUCGUCGUCGUGGGUCGGUGUUUGCAAGGUGGACGCCCUCCAUCUCUUUUCACGGUGGUUAGGUGAUAAAGGUAAUACAUUUUUUAUUCAAUGGAUUAUGAAGUGAAACAUUGUUGUUGUGUGAUUUUGAUGAUGUUUUGUGAUUUUGAUGUUUUUCUAGAGCAUUGACUAGGAUUGUCAUGUUACAGCAGUUGUUAGAGUAACAAUAACAUGUACUGUGGACCUUUAAAGUAUGGUUUGAUGAUUCAGUUUUAGUUUGAGUUUCCUGUUGAAGGAAAUUUGAAGCUUUUCUCCCUUAAAUGCUGAACUGUUAGUAUUAUUGGUAUUACUAGACACACUGAUAUAAAAUUGAUAAAUGUUUUUCACAGUGAUGAAGUUAGAGCAUAUAAAUUGUAUGCUCUAAUCGUUGAAUAAACGAGUUUGGUAAUUGUUGGUCACCAGAUAUGAUAAUUGUUAAGACAGAUGAGUUUUCCAAUUGUUCCCCAAGACGUUUUAGGAUUUCAUUUUGUCUAGGAUUGCUUUGCUAACUUUUGAUUUGGACCGAUGGGGUUGUGAAUGAGCUUACAAUAUAUUAAGCUUGUUUUUUUAGGGUAUCCAAGGCAUAAUUUCUCAAUGUUUUCCUUGGAUUGAGCCAUUUGUAUUGCGAUGAAGUAUUUUAUCCUUCUUCCUAGGUGGAAAAGUAACCACAAAAUUAAGUCAACUGAGACAGUGACAGUGUCAAGUAAGGUUUUUAGAAGGCAUGAAUGCAGGGCAGUGUCAAGUAAGCACAAAAUUCACUCAACUUAGGGACUGGUAGUAUGUGGUUAGCUUAGUAGGAAUAUGUGGUUGGGGUGGGCAUGAUGUGGGCAGAAAGUGAAUUAGAUUAAUUGAAACAGCUUCGUACAACUAGAUUAAUUGAAAAUAGAACACGAUAGGGUAACCUCAUCAUAAAAACUACACGCAAAUUACCUAUUACCCCAACUCUGUGUUCUGCACAGAUAUGUAUUAGGUCUUUCAUGCUGUUGACAACCUCCAAAAUCUGUCAAGCAUUGUAGCAAGUAAUAUAAGGGUUGAGAAAAUACAUAACAUAACAAAUCAAAGGUUUUCUCUAUAGUACUCAAAACUGUACAUACAUUUUGAGCUAGAACUUAAUACCAUACUUGCAAAUAUCUCACAUAUCUUUUAGAAAAACCCAAGUCAUUAAGCGAUUGCAACUCCAAAAUCUUUGGAAGCUGGCGCCAUGCUGUCAAUACCCUGAUGCAAAAUAAACAUUACAUUAAGCUUUGAAGCUUGAGUCUAGUGUCAUUAUAAUUGUUUGUUACCUAGAUGUGACAUAGACUGUUCUAAGCAGCGAAUACUUUUUAACGAAGCAUUGUUAUAAAAUGCUCAAAAAGAGAGUGUGGUUGACAAAAGGGAAUGAGAAUCUGAAUUUGUAAUCUAUAUUUAAAAAAUUACCAUGGGAUGGUCUUAAUUUUGAAUAACAUCAUUUAAAAAAUAUGAAUGUGUGACUUUGCAUUUCUGUAUGUAUAAAAAAUGUUAUUUCUGUGAAGCAGGGCACCAGAAUGCAACCAAACAUGCCCACGGGGUAAAAUCUCAUACUACAAUAAGAUCUUUUUGUUUCCAAUUUUAGGUUAAUGAUUUCCAACAAUACUUUGUUCCUGUUGCCCCUAGUUAUAUAUAUUUGGAUAGUCGUUCAAUAAACCCAAUAAAUAUGAAGAAACAUAGUUUGCACCAUAUCCUUUUUGUAGAGCUAUUUUUAUCCAUCUAUAUACCAAAAUCACAGUAUGCAGCAUGAGUGUAGGGCAGUGUCCAAUGAUCACAAAUUCACUCAACUUAGAGGAUUGUUGUAUGUGGUGACCCUAGUAGGAAUAUGUGGUGACCACAUUAGACUUCCUGCACAGUUCCUUUGCAAACUUAUUUUGGAAAUGUGAAGUGCGUGUUGUGUUGGGUGGGCAUGAUGUUGGCGGAAAAUGCGUUAGAUCAGAUUUUAGAGUCCAUGAGUGUAGGGCAGUGUCCAAUGAUCACAAAUUCACUCAACUUAGGGCAUUGUUGUAUGUGGUGACCCUAGUAGGAAUAUGUGGUGACAACAUUAUACUUCCUGCACAGUCCCUGUGUAAACUUAUUAUGGAAAUGUGAAGAGCGUGUUGGUGUUGGUUGGGUUGGGCAUGAUGUGGGCAGAAAAUGUGUUAUAUCAGGUUUUAAGAGUCCAUGAGUGUAGGGCAGUGUCCAGUGAUCACAAAUUCACUCAACUUAGAGGAUUGUAGUAUGUGGUGACCCAAGUAGAAACAUUUGGUGACCCACAUUAGACUUCUUGUACACACCCAGUGCAAACUUCUUAUGGAAAUGUGAAGUGCGUGUUGGUUGGGGUGGGCAUGAUGUGGGAAGAAAGUGUAUUAUAUAAGGUCUUUAGAGGGCAUGAGUGCAAGGCAGUACCAAGUGAGCAAUAAUUCACUCAACUUAGAGGAUUGCAGUAUGUCGUGACCCAAGUAGGAACAUCUGGUGACCCACAUUAGACUUGUACAGACCCAGUGCAAACUUAUUAUGGAAAUGUGAAGUGCAUGUUGGUUGGGGUGGGUAUGAAUAAGGAAGAAAGUGAGUUAGAUCAGGUUUUGAGAGUCCAUGAGUGUAGGGCAAUGUCCAAUGAUCACAAAUUCACUCAACUUAGAGGAUUGCAAUAUGUGGUGACCCAAGUAGUAACAUCUGGUGACCCAUAUUAGACUUCUUGUACAGACUCAGUGCAAACUUAUUAUGGAAAUGUGAAGUGUGUGUUGGUUGGGGUGGGCAUGAUGUGGGCAGAAAGUGAGUUAGAUCAGUUCUUUAGAGGGCAUGACUGCAAGGUAGUGUCAAGUGAGCAAUAAUUCACUCAACUUAGAGGAUUGCAGUAUCAUGUAGGAACAUCUGGUGACCUACAUUACACUUCUUGCACAAACCCAGGGAAACUUUUCUUGGAAAUGUCAAGUGAGUGUUCGUCUUGGUUGGGGAAAGGCAUGAGUUGGGGACAAACUGAAUUAAAUUAUGUGUUCUUGCACACACACAUUUUCAGAAUACGUUGUCUCUUAAUUUGUUUAUUUUCUUUUGGAUGAAUUGGUUGAUAUAUUUUCUUUUGGACAAUUUUGUAAAGGCUUAUCCUGGUUGGAUAGGGAAGUAUGACAGUGAAAAGUUUGAUCAUGAAGGAAGCAAAAUGAAGGUUUGAUUUAUUAUAUUACUAGGUUGAUAACUGAUAGUUAAUUAUGAAAUUGUGUAAUUAUAUUCAAUUUAAACAUUUCCCUUGCACGUUUAUUUUGUAGAUUCGAGUAAGACACAAAGUGCAACUUGAACAUAUUGUUAACAUCAAUAGAAAUUUAACUUCAUUGCAGCGGCAAAGAAUAGAGGCAACCCCCUUUAAGUGGAUGCUCCACUUAGAACAAGAAUUGGACAUAUCAAGUCCCUUUCUUCGUGAAUUGAUUAGUAGGUGGAGUGUUUUAGGAUCAGACAACAUUUAGUACCUUUUAAGGUUGUUGAUGUGUGUUUCGCGUUGGGGUUGCGAGUUUCGGGUGAAGAAUUAUGUUUGCAGGAUGAUGGUGGUGGGUUGGUGAAUAAGGUCUUUGGAGGAGAGGACAUAAAGAUGAAUAUUCUUUUGGAAAAAUUGGGGAAAAAAGUUUAUAGGAAGAAAAAAUGUUGAUGAAUUCUGCCGAUUGUACAUACUUCUUUUAUUAUAUGUUUUCUUUUUGCCUAGGACUUCUAGAAAUUUUUCUUCAUUUCCUUUUAAGGUUUUAGAUAAUUUAGAUGCAUUGGAUGGAUACAAUUGGGGCGGUGCAAUGUAUGACUUAAUAGUUUCCAGUUUAACACGGUCAUCCGAGGUAUAUAACAACCAAACGAAUAGCCGUGAAAUUUAUUUGGCUGGUUGCGUUCCUUUUCUUCAGGUUAGUGGUAAUUAUGAAAAAUAAUUAUGUACUAUAACUUUAUUACAUUUAUUUAGUUUUAAAUUACUAACAUUAAUUUUUUGGGAGCAGCUUUGGGUUGUUCAUCAUGUUUGCCUUAGCAUCCCUAUAGAAACCCAUACAAUAUCUUUUCCGAGGUUUUUGCAGUGGCCGUGUGUAAAGAUUCGAUCAAGCAGUUUAAAUGAAUCGUUCUUUGUUGCUGAGGUAUCCAAUUGGGUGUUUAAGACCUUCACUAACAUUCGUGUAUUUUUAUAUGUUGAUCAUAACAAAGAAGUUGUUAUUGUAGAUUGUAUGGGAUUGGGCAGUGACUGAAGUCGAGGAAGGACUGAACAUUGUUAAAGAAGCUGUCAAAAUUGGAAAGGAACAUCAUGAAUAUACUGGCUAUUCUCCAAUUGAGUGGGAGAAAGUUUGUAAUGAGCAUAAUAUGUGCGAAUUUGUACUGCUUCAGAACAACAAGAGGAUACGUGAUGUUGAGGACCAAUUACGAGUGGUGAAAGAACUAUUGCACAAACAAAACCAUUCAUCAUGUUCCACACCUGUACCUAAGGACAACAUGAGGUCACGUCCUCGAAGGUCACCUCCUUCAGACUCAGGUGGUCGAAGCCCACAUCCUAUUAACAUGUUUAAGAUGUAUACAACGUUGUGUUCGUUGGUCGGGAUUGCUAGAAACCGAUAAGUUAAUAUAUUGAAGAAUCACUAAUUUUUUAUUUUUUGUAUGCUGACAAAUUUAUCUUUUUGUUUUAGUGUUGUUGUUAACAUUAAAAGCAACAUAUUGACCGGUUUGGACCUACAAUUUUUAUCUCCGGAAGCCAGAGUUCACAACAUGGUAUAAUUAGAAGUGAUAGUUGUGUGUUGUAUUAUGUAAUUGUUUGAAAACUUAAUUCGUUGGAAUUUGUUUUUAGGUGAUGUUCUUUGCAACGGGGUUGUUCAUGGUUGAUCAACUUCAAAAGAAUGGAAGGGUCCAACAUUUUUCCUUUAACCCUUUUUUUGCUGUGAGUAUUGUAGAAUUUAAGUUUUUGUUUUGAUAUGUAUAGUUUUUGUUAAUAGCACUACAUUUUUUGUUGCAUAAAGGAUUGUUUUAUUGAAGAAAUGAAAACAACUUCAGAAAAGAAAGAGUAGGACACGAAGGAUUACUGUUCGUUUGCAAAAGAUUUGAUUCCAUUUGAAUCACUAUCAUAUUGCGAUUUUGUAAGUUUGUAUUAUAUAAUUUUCUAUAAUGGUUUAGGGGCAUAAUUUUUUAUGUGUUUAAUUAAGUUAUAUUAUUGACUUUUAGGUAUUCAUCCCAAUGGUGCACAAUGACUAUUAGUGGGUCUACGCGUUUAAUUUUCAUAGUAGGGAAUUGCAUUCUUGGACCCCCUCGGUCAUAGAAGGGGACAACGCAACAAAAUUGAUAAAGCCAUGGUAAAGAGUAAAAGAUGUUUAGUAAAGAAUGAAGGUAUGAAUUUGGUAUUUGAUUUCUGAUUUCUUGUAUUGUAAGGUGCAGGCUGUGCAAGUUGACCAUGUGUACAAAAUUCUUGACAAGUUCGGUGGAGUGAAUAGUCCCCCCCUUCAGAGUAGUCAAACAAAAACUUUCUAUACAGCCAAAUGAGUUAGUAUUGAAAUGAAAACUUUUGUUAUUUUUAUGCAUAUUCAUAUGUAAUUAUUUUUAUGUGCUUUCCUUUAUGUAGUUAUGAUUGUGGAGUUUUUGGUUUUGAAAUAUAUUGAGGUGUGGAAUGGUAUGGUUGACUACGAGGGGACGACGAUGCCUGAAUACAACAACGUACAUAUUUGUUCCCUUCACUAUUAGAGUACAAGUUAUAAGUUUUAUUCUGCACUAAAAAUUGUUUUUCAAAAUUAAUUUCAGGACGAGCUUCAAGCAUUCUGUCAGGAAAUGGUUUGUAAUUGGGUCCUUGAUGCACGUAAUGCUGAACGAGAAAAUGUGUUGAGAGAGUUCAACUUUCGUGGAACUUCACAAUGAUGGUGGUUGGGUGUGCGUUGGAUGUGAAGUUGCAUGUUCUGCAAUUGUGUAGUUAUUCAUUACAUGUUUUAGUGUAUCCUAGGAGCAUUCAUAACUAUAGAACAUAAUGGAUUACAUACACUUCCAUUGAGUUAAACAAUGUGCGGACUUUUUAAUGCUGAGAAUUAAAGACGAAUAUUGUUGUACUAUAUGAUGCAACAAACCUUCUAAUUAUACUUAAUAUUAGUUUCCAUCGUUUGUAAUUAUGAUGACAAGUUUUCCACAAAUGAUUUUAUUCAUAUUCAAACCCAAAGGAUCCAUUAGGAGGUUUCACAUAUUGUGGAAGGUUAAUUUAACAGUCGUUCGUGGUUAAGUAUGACUUCGUUCUUAGUUCGUUGGACUCAGUAAAAAAAAAGUUAUAAAUAUUUACAUUUGCCCAUUUUGCUACACUAAAAUAAGUUUAAAGUUAACAAUAUUAAGUUAAAGUUCAAAAUUUGGCAACUUUUUUACCAAGUCUUUGGGUAAAACAUAUACAACUACGAUCCAAGCGAGGAAGACAAAAUUUAAUGAUACUAUGCCUAAGCAACAUUCCAUUCAAAACUUGUACUCAAUGUUUCUCAAAAAUUGAUCAUACAAUUUUAAAAUGGAAAACUGAAGAAAAUUGCAGUCAAAUGUUACGGAAUAAGUGGUGAUCCAUGAAGGAAAAUGUGAUCAGCUGUAACAAAGUUUAUGCACACAUACUACACUUUCCUAGGUUGUUAACCCACAUAGAAAUGUGCAUUCUCUGGGAAGGGCGGUGCAUGACCAUGAUGUUCGUGUCAAGUAAGUGAGGAGGGGGCCACCUAUAGUCAAUAAAUUUAGAAAUUUAACACUCAUUCAAUUCAAGAGUGUUCUGAAUUCAACAAUUUGGAGGAGUAAACAUACAUUAAAGCAUAAAUAGAAGUAAAUCAUGUAAUAAAUAAACACAAGUACAAAGUGUAAUAAAGAAGCAUAAGUGCACAACAUGUUCAUACAUCGCAAGAAUAAAUUAUUAUAUAUGAUUGACGCCAUAAUAAUAUUAUUAUACAUGUAAAAUAAGAAAGAUAGGUACAAAACGAAAAUAACAUAUGUAAUAAAUUAUAGAAUGAAAAAAUAAAAUGAAAGCACAAAGCACAGAAGCUGAAUAUGUGAUUAAUUAGUCUACAUUUAUAUGCUUUUACUUCACAUCUUUCAUUCUGAAUUAUGUUGCAGAAAGAGUUAGAGAAACAAAAAUAGAAAAAAGUGGAAGACAAUAAAUUUUGAAAUUUAACCCUGAUUCAAUUGAAGAGUGUUAUGAAUUCAACAAUUUUUGAGGAGUAAACAUACAUCAAAGCAUAGGUAAAAGUAAAUCAUCUAAUAAAUAACCACAAGUUCAAAAUGUCAUAAACAAGAAGAAGUACAUAGGCUAUUAAGCAAGAUGAAAUUAAUGUUGUCAAGGAAAUUCAUCCAACAUUGGUGUUGUAGGUGUCAUCUUAAUCGUCAUGAAUUUCUUCAUGACUUUCUUCCGAUUGUGCAGCGAAAACAGUUUUGUCACCAGGCCAUUUAACCAAAUGCUCAAAUUCUUCAGCGUUGGGCCAAACAAUUUGCUUUCAGCCGAGUGAUGUAAAACAUAUGAGUGGAACGACCCAUUCAAGCUGACCAUUGCUAUGUGGUUUGUUGCUUGUUCCAUUUGAAUAUGUUUCAUGUGAGACUCUAAAUUUUUCAUGUAAUCAACCAUAUUCAUUUCAGGCACAGUGGGUGAAUGCAAUUGGUUUAUUGGGGGUACGACUGCUUCGUCCUCACCUUCUUCACUUUGUUGUCCUUGCGAUUGUUGUUGGUCCUUAUUUGAGCAGUUCCUCUGUAUAAAUUUUUUGUCCAUUGGAGGUCUGAUUCUGGUGGAAAUGUUUAUUUGUAUACCAUUUGCUGCACAUAACGAAGUAAUAAGAGAUGGAAACCCAAGCCUUUUUUAUAAUGAGGAUUAGUCCCACCUUGUUGAAGAACAAAGUGAUGAAUAGAGUUAGAUAUCAGGGUUUCCACGUCCACCUCAUACUGUUUCAGUAAACAGAGCACAAUAUAACACUUUCCCAUACUCAAGUAUGAAUUGUGCUUGUUUGGGAUUACAUUAGACAAUAAGAACCAUGUCCGUAUCUGGGUCAAAGUUAUCAUACUCGACCAAAUAAUUCUGAGUGCCUUUCCAUUGUUGUUAGUCUCAUAGGUCUGGCCAAGAAUGCAUAAUAGCUCUAAUGUUUCCCUGUUACUGAACGAAGUAAAGUUAGUUCUCUGUUUCAGCAUACCAUAUGUACACAACCCAUCUUCAUCCAGUUGAAGGGGAUUUCCCAAAAACUAAUUGAUGGUAUUCCUAUCGUAUGGAAUCCACAUGCCUCUUACUUUGGAUCUGAGCUCCGUCUCACCCUUUUUCACAGGCCACGCAUUGGCAUAAAAUUCAAGAACAACAUGUGGAUCGUAUUUGUCAACUGGCAUAGCUAGUUGUCCCCAUUUCCUCCGUGUUAGUUCUUCAUCAAAAUCAGAGUAUUCUCCUUCCUCUAGUUUAACUUGUCUUUCUGGAAUAAUCGUCCAAUGCUUUAUGGCUUCAUAUUGUUCCUUGCGGAACUCGUCCCUAAACAAUUUAUGUCUGGAGGGUUCGACCAUUGGUUGCUUUCCUUGAGCGUGUGAUGUGGACGCCUUUUGUGUACGCUUUACUGUCUUUGGAGCCAUCUGUGACAAGUUCCUUCAUCAAACAGUGCAUAUUUUCCAAAAUAGACAACAUUAGAAAGCCAUAAGCAAUAUAUGAAACAGUUACUGUGCAUUUAAAUUUGGCACAUAUAAUAAAAGGCAUCCAUAUGUAUGUCACAUAUAAAAGCCAUCCAUAACAAUGGGUGCAUAUUUUCCUAAAUAAACAACAUUUGAAACACAUAAGAAAUAUAACAAACACUUAGUGUGCAUUAAAUUUGAAACGUAUAAAACCCAUCCAUAUGUAUGUUGAAUCAUAAUUUUGUGUAGAAUUGAGGACAUCAACAUAGUUAUGUUCAUGCACACAUGGAUGUAUAAAUUACCUCGUCCUAGUGUAGGGAUAAUAGUCUGGAAGAGGGUAGAAUGUAGUUGAGGGGGAAUGAUCCUUGUGGAAGAAUGUCCUUGGGUGAACGGUGAUUGCUUGGAGCACAGUCGGCAUAGAGAAUAUCCCCAAAUUCUUUGGUGGACCCUAAUUUUACCUUCCCACUCUAUGCAUGUGGGAGAAUCUAGUGGAGAAGGAAACCAAUUCUUGAGUCUAAAACGAAAAUUAUUGAUUGAGAGAGAGAAGGAAGCAUAACCUGAUUCAGAAAUAUUGGCUUAGUCCAAUAUUUUUAGUGUAACCUAAAAAACACCUCCUUCACCACUGCAUAUUUUGGAUCAAUGAAAUAUUUGUAGUGCAAUCUAAAGUGGACCUGUUCCAGCACUUGACCUUUUUGGCAUAAUCCAAAAUUUUUGGUGCAAGCUAAACUGGACCCAUUGACCACUGGCCCAUUUUCGCUCAAUCCAAAUAUUUUCGUGCAAGCUAAAAUAGACUCCUUCAGCACUGCCCUAUUUUCGCUCAAUACAAAUAUUUCCGUGCAAGCUAAAAUGGACCCCUUCAGCACUACCCCGCUUUCGCUCAAUCCAAAUUAUUUUUAUGCAAGCUAAAAUGCACCCCUUCAGCACUGUCCCGUUUUCGCUCAAUCCAUUUUUUUGUAGUAGAACCUAAAGUGGACCCCUUGAGCAGUUUACGAUUUUGACCCAAUCCAAUUUUUUAGUAGAAGCUAAAGUGCAACCAUUGAGGGAAAAUGCAUGACUACUAAGACUACUCACAUAAUUGAUCGAUUUAGAAUAAAUUUUCCACAUUUUGAGGAUAACCAUGUACAUUGUAAUCUUACAAAAUAUUUUGAAUACGGUAAAAAAAACUUUCAUACAAACAUAUACAACCAGUCAUUGCAUGUGGGUGGUUGAACAUGUACCACAAUUGUUCAAGAUUACAUAACAAAAUUGUACAUGUGUCAUUCAUAAACUCAUCCUUAAUACAUUGUUCACAUCCGUCAAAAUUUACUAAGUGUGUUGAUUUUUACCUGCAACGGAAUAACAAACAUGACUUCAAAACAUCUUCAUGUAUAACAAAUUUACUGAAUAACACAUUCGAAUAAGUUAUAGUACAAAUAACCGAAUGACCUGAGGUGCACUUCAGUGGUGUCAAAUAUUCAAAUUACUAUGUAAUGAUGUUAAUAGCGAAACAAAUCUAAUAGAAGGACUGCUUGAGACGUGAGAAUGGAUACAAUAACAUUAGUUUUUUGUACAUAUUAUUCAGAGAUAUACAUCAUAUGCAAAAGUUCAGUUCUUCAACAAUAAUCAUAUUUUGUACGUACCCCCUGAUCUGAAUUACGUAUCUCAUUCACUUUUACCCAUGACCCUAGAACACAUAACUUUUGAAUUCGCAUCCUCGUCUGUGGCCUAUAACAAGUACAAGUAACUUCAAUUUAAAAAAUUUUGUGCAUAGUUAUAUGGAUAACAACUAUUUUAAGAAAUGUAAAUUAAGUCGAAGGUCAAAUAUUUUAUGCAUUUUACUAACCGUAGUGCAAUCAAUGGGAAUUUGGCAUGCGAUAGAAUAUUUUUUCCGUUUUUCGCCCUUUUCAGAGCAUGAUUUCUUUUGUGUUGAGCAUGGUCUUCCCUUUCAUUUGACAAUGAUGGGGCUACACACUUCAUUCACCGGGUUAUUCAAAGUUGUAGGAGUAGGUGACAUUGGUUGUUCAUUAACAUCACACACACGUGGCUGACAAUAUUUUUCUUUGUUCUCCAAUUAUGGUGUGUUGGUUGAACAUGUAUGAUGACAAAAUCAUCAAGAUGCUUGUGCCAAAGUUCUGUUGUAUCAGUUGUCCCAUUAGCACUUUCAGUUAUAUCAUAGAAUUUCUUGCACAACCCAUCAUAUCGUUGAAAUUGUGGAUCUUUGUCCUUGCUCCCAUAUGAAGCUCUUAUAUAUGUGUGCUUGCGGCGGACAUUUUUACUCCACCUGGUCAAAAUAUACUUAGUCGACACUUCUGCCACUCUUUCUUGUGCAAGGACAACCAAGCAAUGUCGACACAAGAUCCCCCUAAAUUCAAAUAAUAAACAUGUGCAACAAACAUGAAGGUUUUAGCGGUCAAAUAACACUACCCAAUUUGAGUGGUUUGUUCGGCCAUCCCGGAAUGACUCUUCGAUAACAUUGAAUCGACAGGUAUGUCCAUCAACAAAAAAAUUAUUAACAACACAAUUCAUCUUCCCCUUGAAUUCAGCUUGAACUUCGUUGAAUUUUGCAUGGGUGUAUUCUGCUUGAAACUGUCUUUCAAUGGCGAAUUGUGAGUUACAAGGAAUAACUUUGUUGAGAGAAGCAAAGUCCAUUUCACACUCCAAUUCUACCUUAUGUUGCAGUGCAUUAUCAUAUUGGUGCAAAAAUUGUUCGGGACAUGUCAUAGAAUUAAUAUACCAAUCGAAAAAUGCAUUCACGCUCUCACUUCGUUGUGUUGUGGACAUGCCUGCCCAAAAAAACCCUUUAAGCUAACAAGAAACCCACCGUGCCCCUUCUUCAAAUAACGUGUCCAACCAAUCAUUGUUGCAUAACUCAUAUUCACUUAUGAAAUUACCCCACAAGGACAUAAAAACAUCAACAAUUGCCGACUCAUACACUACAUUUUUUAAAUAACGUUUCAUAUCUUUAUAUUGUGUAUAUCCUUAAAGCUUUUAUGGUAUUUUCUUCAUUAUAUGCCAUAAGCACCACGUGUGUCGCGGUUUGGGAAAGACAACUUCAAUAGCAUUUUUCAUUGCCCUACAUUGAUCUGUGACAAUGCCUUGGGGUGGUCUGUGUGACAUACAAUGAAGCCAACAUUAAAAUAACCUCACGAAUGCAUCAGUGUCUUCUGAAGAAAGCAGUCCACAUCCUAACAAAAUGCAUUUCCCGUGAUGAUUAACACCGAGAAAUGGUGCAAAUGGCAUAUCAUACUUAUUCAUCAAAUAUGUUGUAUCAAAGCACAAAACAUCUCCAAAACUAUUGCAUGUUGCACGACUUCUUGCAUCUGCCCAAAAUACAUGACGUAUGCGAUUAUAAUCAUCUAAAUCAAUGUCAAAGUAAAAUUGGGGGUUAAGUUCCCUCAUGAUAAAAAUGAUUUAAGAGUGCUUUGUCAUCUCCUUCCUUCCCAAACGCUCUUCUACUUUUGGCAACAUAAUUACGGGUAUCUCGUUCAACAAAUUCCAUAUUGUCAUACCCACUCGCUGCAAAAACAAAAGAUCAAAAAGUCUUAUUUAUCCGAACUCCAGCGUCGUUAUUUAUAUCAACCACUCUUUUUGCGUGUAAACUUAUUCUUCUAUUUCCCCUAAACAACCUAGACUUGGUUGGGCUCAUGUCGUGUGAAUGUUCUUCAUUCAUUGACAUGAUAUACCACUCGUUGUCUUUGAUGCCAACAAUAAUACGAGCUAGACAUUGAUGCUUCUAAGUUGGAAGGGUGUUAACUUCGAUGGGAAUGGAUGACGUAUAUUUUCCUGCUCUUGCACAAACCAACAUGAAGUAUCUUAAUUCUUUGUCUUUUCCUCUCUUCGAACUUUUUAUUCUAAUUCCAAAACCUUUUCUGAUGGCAUAUUCUUUGCAGAAAAUUUUUAACAGCAUCUGCAUUGUCAAAUGACAUGCCAACGGUAGGAACUAUUUCACAAACAUCAUUAACAUCAUAACCUAUGUUAUCAAUUUCCUGCGAAGGCUGAUCGUCUUCAAACAAGAAAAUGUCACCAAGAGAAAUAUUAUCCAUAUCUAUCCAAAGCUGCAUUAUAUACAAAUUUCAUAUCACAAAUUAACACAUGUUAUUUGUUAACAAAUAUGUCCAAAUUUUUAUCAAAACUAGGGUUUUUUUUGUGACUUUGAAACUAAAAUAUGUAAUAAGGUCCCAUAAUAUUUGGUGCGAAAAAUUACACAUCUAAGAGGUUUAACAUAGCUCAUAUGCAAUCAUACUCGAUAUUGUCAUCACAUUUUACAAAUUAUUUAAAAAGAAACACAUUGUUCAAAAUUAUAGUUUUUGGAAAUAGAAUGACAAGUAAGGUUUUUUUUGUGUACAGGUGAAAUGUCCAAAUAUUGCAUGUGUUUGGCAUAAAAAAUAAAGGUUCAUGCAUGAACUUCAGUCAAACAAUGAAAACUUGAAUUAAAAUGCCCUAACAUUGUGUAGAACUCUAAUAAAUGCAUGUUCAGAAUCAUAACAAAUGCAUGUGUAUUAAAUAUGUGCAAAACUUGUGGGUUCUGCACUCAUUGGAGUACAUGGAAUUUAGGAGGUGGAUGGAGACUCAAUAUAUUAAAAGUUGUGGGUGCCACCUUCAACAAACAACGCAGAAAAAUAAAUUUUUGACACUGCAAAAGGCCAAAUGUUGGUGGUGGAAGAUGAGAAUGGAAGGUGGUGGGUGUUCUAUGCAGUAAAGGCACGAAGAUGGUGGUUAAGUUCCCUCAUAUGAUAAAAAUGAUUUAAGAGAGCUUUGCCAUCUUCUUCCUUCCCCAACGCUCUUCUACUUUUGGCAACAUAAUUACGGAGAUCUUGUUCAACAAAUUCCAUAUUGUCAUACCCAUUCGCUGCAGAUACAAAAGAUCGAAAAGUAUUAUUCAUCUGAACUCCAGCGUCGUUAUUUAUAUCAACUACUCUUUUUGCAUGUAAACUUAUUCUUUUAUUUCCUCUAAACAACCUAGACUUGGUUGAGCUCAUAUCGUGUGAAUGUUCUUCGUGCAUCGACAUGAUAUACUACUUAUUGUCUUUGAUGCCAACAGUAAUAUGAGAUGGACAUUCAUGCUUCUGAGUUGGAAGGAUGUUAACUUCGGUGGGAAUGGAUGACGUAUAUUUUCCUGCUCUUGCACAAACCAACAUGAACUAUCUUAAUUCUUUAUCUUUUCCUCUCUUUGAACUUCUUAUUCUAAUUCCAAAACCUUUUCUGAUGGCAUAUUUUUUGUAGAAAUUUUUAAUAGAAUCUGCACUGUCAAAUGACAUGCCAACGGUAGGAACUAUUUCACUAAGAUCAUUAACAUCAGGACCUAUGUUAUCAAUUUUCUGCAAAGGCUGACGUCUUCAAACAAGGAAAUGUCACCAAGAGAAAUAUUAUCCAUAUCUAUCGAAAGUUGCAUUAUAUACAAAUUUCAUAUCGCAAAUUAACACAUGUUAUUUGUUAACAAAUAUGUCCAAAUUUUUAUCAAAACUAGAAUUUUUGUGUGACUUUGAACUAAAAUAUGUAAUAAGGUUUCACAAUAUUUGGUGCGGAAAAUUACACAUCUAAGAGGUUUAACAUAGCUCAUAUGCAACCAUACUUGAUAUUGUCAUCACAUUUUAUAGAUUAUUUAUAAACAAACACAUUGUUCAAAAUUAUAGUUCUUGGAAAUAGAAUGACAAGUAAGGUUUUUUUUGUGUACAGGUGAAAUGUCCAAAUAUUGCAUGUGUUUGGCAUAAAAAAUGAAGGUUCAUGCAUGAACUCCAACCAAACAAUGAAAAAUUGAAUUAAAAUGCCCUAACAUUGUGUAGAACUCUAAUAAAUGCAUGUUCAGAAUCAUAACAAAUGCAUGUGUAUUAAAUAUGUGCAAAACCUGUGGGUCCUGCACUCAUUGGAGUACAUGGAAUUUAGGAAGUGGAUGGAGACUCAAUAUAUUAAAAGUUGUGGGUUCCACCUUUAACAACAACGCAAAAAUAUAAAUUUUUGAUGCUGCAAAAGGCCAAAUGCUGGUGGUGGAAGAUGAGAAUGGAAGAUGGUGGGUCUUCUAUGCAAUGAAAGCAUGAAAAUGGUGCUACUUGUGGGAAAGGAGUUGCAUUAAUGCAACUCAAUCACCACUGUGUUGAAGUGACUAUUGUGCUAGGAAUAAUAAAUACCUUGGUAAUGCUGUCAUAAUUAAUCUAAAGUUGUUGAAAUGAAUGUUGUAUAAAAAGUGGUUCAAAUAAAUGUUGUCAUAAAAAGUGUUUCAAAUAAAUGCUCUCAUAAAAAGUGCUUCAAAUAAAUGUUGUCAUAAAAAGUGCUUCAAAUAAAUUCUCUCAUAAAAAGUGCUUCAAAUAAAUGCUAUACAUAUGUCAAAUUCAAGAGUGCACCACCGUUGUUUGGAAGGUUCUUUUUUAGACAAAGAAGAAAUCAUUGCUAAACCAAUAUACUGCAUGUUUUGAAACAUCAAAACACUAUCCAAUCAUACUUUAGCUUUGUUGUCUUCACUAUCACUUUCAAUGGAACAAUGGGAAAACAUUGACAUUGACACCAGUAACCUUGCAAGCUUCGUGCGCUGUUGUAACACCAAUACAUGUCUCAUUCCAAGCAUAGCCGGUAGUGUGGAAGUAGUUAUCCUUAAUCGCAACUCUAAAGAAGCAGUCAAGACUCAACAAUUUAUAAACAAUAUAGCUGACGAAAAUUGUAGGCGUGAUUUUGAUUCCCACCCAUGGAAUUGGGCACAACAUUUUCGUCACUUUCAUGGUAAUGCUUAUGACAAUCAUUUACAGUUUAACAGUUAUUGGUGUGCAAAAAGUAAUUUUGUCUUUUUUAAGGACAAAUUGAUGGACAUGAUUGUGAGUAGAUAUCUUCUUUGGCUAACAUUAAGCAACAUUAUGUUUUUCCCUUACUUGUGUUGUGAAAGAAUGCCAACCAAAUGGUUUAGGAGACAUGUUAAUAACUAUUAAGGUAAUAUAUGGCUUAUGUACUCUUUUGAUCCUUUCAGUUUAUGCAACACAAAAAUGACUAUUAUACACAUCUUAAUUACAGGAUCAAACAAGAAUAGUUAGAGCAAGUGUACACGCAAAGGUGUUAAAAGAUCUGAAAUUUGGAUCAGAAAUUGCAGAAGGAUCAGUCUUAGUGCUAAAGAAUGUAUUUAUCUUCCAUAAAACUCUUUUUUCAAAUAAGUCCAUAUCAUAUUUCAUGAAAGCAUUAAUGUUGUUAUAGGUAGCCUUAUUUAGUCUGAAUCAUAUAGCAUGCUACCUUAAUAUAACCGUAAACAACAUUGUUAAGGUAUGUGGCUUUCAUUAUAACUAUAGUACAAACAAGUGUGCCUUUCGUUAAAAUAUUCAUGCCUAUAGGUUUUAAAAAUUGACAUAUGUACACCAUCUGAUUCAUGCUUAUAGGUUUUCAAAUUUGACAUGUGUCCACCAUCUGAAGAGGAAGUUCGUUGUUGUCAUCCAGUAAUACGUGAUCCACUAACUCUAGGUACAAUUUCAAAAAUUGUCUAUACUUAAAAAACAAUGUCCUAUAUCCAAUAUUGUAAUUCACAUUUCAAUAUCCAAAAUAUAUUGAGAUGCAAAGCAAUUGGAGUUAUUGAAUAAGAUGGAGGAAGACAGAAUCCGACGUUCAAGGAUGGUUUAAACUUCCACAUCUUACAAACAUGGAUAUAUGAACAAUGAAGACUAUUAUUGUAUAAUUGAGGAUACAAAAUUGUAUUUAUAAUUUAUAAGCACAUGUUUGAACAAUACUUAUUACAUGUGUUAAGUGAAUUUUUUGGUUACUUGUCCUUCUUAGUUUGUAUGAACUUAGUUUCUGUGUGUUGAGAUUGCCAUACAUUCAAAUUUAAAAAAUAUGUUCACUUCAACCAAAUGAAUGGAAGACAAUUAAAAUUAAAAAAACACUUCAAAAAGUCCAAUCAAAUUACAGUUACUAAAAUUACAACGCAGUUGCUAAAUAAAUGUCUUAAAUUCUCUAACCACAUUACACCCAAUGAAAUAAACAUGUAUCAUUCCUAACAACUACUUCAUAAUAAACAUACUUAAGUACUAAACACGUCAUGUACGAUCCCUUUCAAUUAUGACUAACAAAAUCAUUUUUUCCCUUUCCAUACCUAGUCCAUGGUGAUUUCAUCACAGCCGACUUUGCAUGUUUCCUUGCUCUAUGCUUCACUCGUGCGAAUAUGUUACUUUUUUCUUCUCCCCCAUCUUGGUCUUUCGGUACAUCUUGCUCUUGGGGUACGUCUUGUUGUUCGGGUACGUCUUGCUGUUCGGGUACAUGUUGUUCUUCAGGUACGCCUUGCUCAUCGGGUCGGCCUUGCUCUUCGGGUAUGCCUUGCACUUCAGGUAUGCCUUGCUCAUCGGGUUCAUCUUUAUCAUCAACAUAAGAAGUCUGCAGAUGUUCGUCAUCAUCUAUAGAAGGACUAUCACGCACAUAAGAUUUUGCACGUGCACUUAAAAAUUCUUGUAACUCUUUCAACUCCUUCUCCAAAUUGCUGAUGACAACCUAUUGUUUCUUUGCUUGGCGAAGCAUAUCAACUACUUUCACCUUCAUUUUACUAUAGUCCUUUUUUUCAACAUGUCGGUUGUAAAUCCACGUCGAACUACCUCAAAUGCUUGUACAACGAAUUCAUUUUGCAACUCUUCAUUGGACGCAGAUAAGUCCACAAUAACCUAUUCAUGCAGACAAUAAAUACCAACAUAAAUGAAAAAAAAAACUAAGUAUUGUACAUUAAAUAAAAAAUUUCAAUGUAUUUUACACACCACAUUCUGUUGCAGUCCAGAUGCAAUUUCAAUGUCACCCAUCCUAACAUCCAUCCAAUGUGUGAUACGAGGAUAUCUAUUUCCAAUCCUCGGCAUUUGCCGCUUGUAAGAGAACAAAUGUUACAGUGCCCAUAUCUACACAAGUUAUAUCAAAUUAAUGCCAGUAACUAGAAAAUGUAUGGGAAGUCAUUACACAUACGAAGUAAACAUUUUAAAUUACUCGCAUCAAGUACACACAACCACGAACAUGGAUAUAUGUAGCAUUAGUUUUCCUCCUCAUACACAUUGAAGCUGAACACAAACUACUGUAAGCAAAAAAGUCNNNNNNNNNNNNNNNNNNNNNNNNNNNNNNNNNNNNNNNNNNNNNNNNNNNNNNNNNNNNNNNNNNNNNNNNNNNNNNNNNNNNNNNNNNNNNNNNNNNNNNNNNNNNNNNNNNNNNNNNNNNNNNNNNNNNNNNNNNNNNNNNNNNNNNNNNNNNNNNNNNNNNNNNNNNNNNNNNNNNNNNNNNNNNNNNNNNNNNNNNNNNNNNNNNNNNNNNNNNNNNNNNNNNNNNNNNNNNNNNNNNNNNNNNNNNNNNNNNNNNNNNNNNNNNNNNNNNNNNNNNNNNNNNNNNNNNNNNNNNNNNNNNNNNNNNNNNNNNNNNNNNNNNNNNNNNNNNNNNNNNNNNNNNNNNNNNNNNNNNNNNNNNNNNNNNNNNNNNNNNNNNNNNNNNNNNNNNNNNNNNNNNNNNNNNNNNNNNNNNNNNNNNNNNNNNNNNNNNNNNNNNNNNNNNNNNNNNNNNNNNNNNNNNNNNNNNNNNNNNNNNNNNNNNNNNNNNNNNNNNNNNNNNNNNNNNNNNNNNNNNNNNNNNNNNNNNNNNNNNNNNNNNNNNNNNNNNNNNNNNNNNNNNNNNNNNNNNNNNNNNNNNNNNNNNNNNNNNNNNNNNNNNNNNNNNNNNNNNNNNNNNNNNNNNNNNNNNNNNNNNNNNNNNNNNNNNNNNNNNNNNNNNNNNNNNNNNNNNNNNNNNNNNNNNNNNNNNNNNNNNNNNNNNNNNNNNNNNNNNNNNNNNNNNNNNNNNNNNNNNNNNNNNNCCAGAUUUUACCUGGGCCCCCCAAUCCAAAUAAAAAUAAUAAUUUUUUGUGUCACAUUGGCAGUUGUAUGGUGGAGCAACUCAUUUAGAGUUGUCCAAAAAUCGGGACCCAAUCAAGAAUACAUGUACAUCUUAUGAUGUGAAUGUAACUACAAGAACACAUGAUUCUUGACAUUCUUAGGAACAACUUGAGCUGGAUUUGAAAGGCACUCUACUUUAGAAUUGGAUCAAUGUUCUAAAUUCAAGAACUCACCAAAACUAAGCACCAACCAAGACUCAUAAUGAAGUCCAUGUAUUGUCAAAUUGAAUCAAAACAAAAGGAAAGAAGAACAAGAAUUAAAACUGGACAGAAUUAAGAAACUAGCUACUGAACCGAAAAGAAACAAAGAACAAAGCUGGAAAACAGAAUGUAAACGGUAGAAAAUGAAGGAAACACAUUAGGAAAUGAAACUACCGAAUGAAAAAUUGAAGAAAGGAAAGAAGACACUUAUAUGAAGAUGCUUGCUGGAUUUUGAGGAUUGGAAGAAGCCAUUCACGCCACUUGGAACCUUGAACCAAGAUAAGUGAUGGAGUGCCACCACUUGAAGCUCACCAUAGCUCACAAGAUAAGGCAAAGAAGAGGAAGACUCAAAACUCACAAAUUCUCUCCCAAAUUGAGUAUAGUCUCUCUACUAUAAAAUUCCAAUCUGAAUUGUGAAGGACCUAAGCCCUCCUUUUAUUGGAGUAAGGGCUGGUCAUUUACAUAGCUUAUUCCCUAAGCUACCCAAAAAACUCCUAAGAUCACACCCCCCUAACUAAGCUCACUCCCCAAGCUUCUAGAAUUUGCUAAACUAAAGCCUAAAGAUGCUUUUACAAAAGAGGUGUCUCAUGUUUCCCUCUAAGCACCUUUCUAAACAUUAUUCUAUAUUAUUUACAAUUUAAAAGAAACUAUAAAGAGAGAUAUUUAAUAUGAAGCCUAUUAUUUGAGAGUUUGUAGACUUCUUUAUCUUUAGGCUUGAUCUUCUCUUUGACUUCUUUUAAUUUGUGAGAAGACUAGAAGGAAGAACUUCAAAUGUGUAGGUGAAAAUCCUCUUCCUUCAUUAAUAAAAUCCUCUCCUAGUGGAUAUCCAUCAUCUUAGGUCUCCUUUCUACACUGGAACGCAUCAAGUUAUUGUUGAACAACUUCAAUUUGAUCAUCAAGAUGUUGACAAUGUUCAACACAAAACUCAUAGUGAUCCUUUUGAUCACUAACCAUUGUAUCCAUCCAGUUGAGCACCAUUUUUUCAAAAUGAGAUAAGGGUUCACCACGAUUGAGCAUCAUUGUAGUUUCACUUUGUUGUUUUCUAAAUUGAUUCUUAAAUUUUGAAGAAUAUCAUCUUAAUCAUCUUCUUUUGCACCAUUCUUUGAGAAAACAUAUUUCUCAUGGUUAGUCUCGUUAUAUACAAUAUGCAUAUACUCUUCAACAAUCAUGAAUUUCUUGUUAUACACCCUAUAUGCAUGAUUAUUUAAUGAAUAUUUUAAGAAAAUACCUUCAUAUGCUUUUGCAUUAAAUUUUCCAAGGUUUUCUUUUACAUUAUUUGAAAUGAAACAGUUACAGACAAAAACUUUUAUAUGACUAAUAUUAGGUUUUCUACCAAUAUAAAGCUUAUAAGGAUUUUUCUUUAAAAUAGGUCUAAUUAGAACCAUAUUCAUCACAUAACAUGUUGUGCUAACAACAUCAACCCAAAAAUAUUUUGGAAAGGAUGAUUCAUUCAAAAUAGUUAUAGUCAAUUCUUCAAGAGAUCUUUUUUUUUUUUCAACAACACCAUUUUGUUAAGGAGUUCCAGGUGCAGAAAAAUUGUGAUGAAUGCCAUAUUUUUCACAAAAAGAGCUAGAUUUUUCAUUUUGAAAUUCUUCACCAUGAUCACUUCUGGUAGAACAAAUAUUACUAUUGUUUUUAUUUUUCAAAAGUUUGGCAAGCUUUUUUAAAGUAGCAAAACAAUCAUUCGUGGAUGCUAGAAACAAUGUCCAUGUGAAUCUAGAAAAAUCAUCUACAUUGACAAGUGCAUAAUAGUUUCCACCAAUACUCAUGGUUCUUGAAGGACCAAACAAAUCUGUGUGAAUUAAUUCAAGAGACUUAGAUGUUGAAACAACAUUUUUCAUAUUAAAGGAAUUUUUAACUUGUUUUCCCUUUUGACAUGCUUCGCAUACAUGAUCCUUUUCAAACUUGAGUUUUGGAGUACCUAUGACAAGAUCUUUAGAAAUUAGUUUAUUUAGAUGAUGCAUGUGAAUGUCAGAUAUUCUCCUAUGCCACAACCAAUAUUCUUCAUGUUUAGUUAAAAUACAAUCAACACUGGAAGCAAAAUUUAAAAUAUCCAGUAAAUACACAUUAUUAAUUUUUUUACCACCUAGCAAAAUCUUCUUUGUAUCGAACAUACUUAUCAAACAAGAAUUGGGUUCAAAGGUAACCUAAUAACCUUUAUCACACAAAUGACUUAUACUCAAAAGACUGUGUUUUAGACCUUCCACAUAUAACACCUUUUUAAUGAGAAAUGUAUUAUGAUCACCUACAGUUCCCGUCCCAAAAACUUGUCCUCUAUUUUUGUCUCCAUAAGUAACAUAUCCUUCAUGCUUGAGAUGUAAUUCAAUAAAUUUAUAUUUUGUCCAUUGUCAUGUUCUUUGAACAGACGUUGUUUAGGUAUCACAAAUGUUUCCUAGUUAUCAAAGAUUACUACAAAAGAGAUUUAAGGAACAAGAUUUAGCCCCCUUAUUAAUUUGAGUCCAUAAAUGUUAAUAACACCUUUAGGCAUCCACCUUCCAAAUUCAAUUGGUAAGUCAUAUUUCUUGAUUCUAUAGGUUCUAAUAGUAUGACCUUUUUUCAAACAGUAAAAGCAAGUUAAAAAAGGUUUGGGUUGUGGCCCACUUUUUCUAAAAAAGCUUAUAAAAGAUCUAGUGUUGUUUUUUUGUUGUUUUUGGCAUUUGAAUUAUAUCCUAGAACAACUUUUCCAAAAACAUAGUUUUGUGAAGUAAACCUUCUAGAUUUUUCAGCCCCAUUGUAAACUUGCUCAAAGUUUUUGAGAUAUUGAACCUUCAUUUUAAUAUAAUCACAAUUUUCACAACUUUUUACAUCAACACAUUUGAAAGAAGUGUUUUUAUAUGUGAUAUCUAGAUUUUCAAAAUCAUUUUUGAUGUUAUUUAACUCUUCUUCUAGUGAUCUGACUUUAUUUCCCAACCAUUUGUUCAAACCUUUCAGUCAUUUUUUGGACAAAGCCAACUUGUUAGCCUCCUCGUGAGUUUAUUUAAAUGCAUCAAGUGACUGACUAUAAUAUUAAAAAUUCUCAGAGGAACUGGAACUUACAUUGCUCGUGUCAAAUACAUCUCCAAUAAUUAAACAAAGAUUAUCUUCCCCAUCAUCCUUUGAUGUAGGGUUGGAAGAAGAGUCACCACUAUCUUGCCAAGCUAUGUAUGCUUUCCUAGCUUUUCCUCUUUUCUCUUGUUUCCUGUCAAAACCUUUUUCUUUGCUUAAAACAUUUGGACAUUCAAUCUUGAUAUGUUAUUGUUUUACAUAGCCAAAACAAUUAUAGUUAAAUAAAAUAAAAUCACCUGAUUUCUUUCAAUUAUACAUCUUUCAGCCAUUUUAAAAAAAAUAUAGGAUCAAAACUUGAAUAGCACUCAAGAGCCAUGCUCCUAAGGCCAAUUAUUAGAAUAGUUGGCCAAAAACAAAAGGGUGAAUUUUUUUUCAAAAGAUUUUCACAAAACUAAAAGUCAAAUUGAAAAUUAUGAUAAAAUCAAUUGAUUUAUUAUUUUGUUGAAUCGAAUAUAAAUGUGAUUAACAAGAAAAUAUAAAAGAUAUAAACUAGUUUUAUAUUUAUUCAAUCAAUUGAAAUGCCAUGUCAGCCUCUCUUGGGCGAGAUACAUCUUGUCUGAAAGAGUUGAGCAUUUUCAAAAUUACGUGAUCAAGGACAACCCAACCCUUGUAUGCCUCCAAAUUAGUUUAAAGCUUUUAUAGCAUGGUCUAGGGACAUGUAUUAUUUUUCCCAGGGGACAGGUCCAGCAAAUGAAGUAAGACCAUCUAGAGGAUUUUAACACAGAGUUGGAUGAGUUACUAAGAAAAUAAGAUUGAGCACAAAGCAUAACCAAAACAUGGUUUUAUCUUUCUAGUUAUUUCUUUUUUGUUGUUUAAAUUGCUUAGUUGAUUCAAUUUGCUUGUAUAGUUAUUUCCCUUCAGUAGUUUAAUUUGCUUAUAUUCUUUAUUGAUGAGUUAUUUUCUGUUUUCAUUUAAAUAUUGAGUUGUAUUUCUAGUUUUAUAUUUUUCUUAAAUAAUAUUAUAAGAACUGGAAUAUUAAUUUGAAAUGUCAAAAAUGUAUUAAUCAAUUUUUUUGUUUAAAGAUUAUAACAGUGAAAUGAAUUAGACACGGGUUGAAAAAGAAAAUGCGUUGAAUCCAUAUUUAAAUGUGAUUGAGAUUGUGAUACAUGAAAAUUUAACAGGAUGAUUAAUUUGAACAGAGUAAGGAAUUAGACUAAUUAAGCCAAGUGAGUGUGUGAAUCUUAAACAAUUUCAGAGUUCCACUGAUGAAUUGACAAUUAUGGUUGCUUAAUUUUUAUUUUAUGUUACAUUAUAAAAGAGCAUGAAAAUGAUUAAGACAUUUGUCUUAAUUAGAAAAUCAGGGCCAAAUAGCCAACCUUUAUGUAAAUUAAGUAUAUAUUUUUUUGUGAUAACCAUUUUGAGCCAAGAAUUUUUGUUAUUAUUAUUGCACCCUGAACCUUAACUGAUAUAUUUUCCUACCUAUUGGCAUGUUUAAGGAAGAAGAACAUAAAUGCAAUUUAUAUAUAGAAAAAUGAAUGAUUGGUUUAAAAGUAAAUAAUUCAACUGGUUGGAAAUAGGAAUAACUUAUUUCUAUUAUUCUUGAUUGAUAUUAAAAAAAAGCAUGAUGAAAUCAUAACUAAGUAAAGAAAAUGAGGAAGAGUAUGAAGUCAAAGAAAUCUAUGAUUAGAUAACACAUAUGUAUUGCAAUAGGAUUGUAGGUAUGUUCUUUUUAUUUUAAAUGUUCAAUUUGUUGUCUGAAAAACCAAUAUUUUUUUUGGAAGUCCAACCUCAUUAUAACCUUGUAAAAGACCUUAAGAUUCAUGUUUCUAAUAUGAUGAUUAUAUAAAUAUGAAAUGAAAAGCAACUGUGAUUUGUUAGGAUUUAGUGGAAAUAGAGAGAAACUGUCAUAGUGAAAAACAACAUUUAUCUUUGAGAAUAUGGGAAGAAACUCCUUGAUAAAUUGUCAUUUGACUGUUUCAGUGUUAUCCUGGAAGUUGGAAGCACCAUAAGUUUCUAACCUAAUCUGUUGUUUAGUAAAUAAAGUUGUUUUGAUAUUUGAAAUCAAAUAUGAUUUAUUCAUAUUCAUUUACUUUGCUUGAGGACAAGAAAGAUUCCAAGUUGGGGGAAGUUGUUAAGUGGCAUAAUUCAGUAAUAUUUCAUAUUAAAAUAACUUAUGAAUUUUUAUUGAUAAAAUAACUAUAAUUCAACCCCUAAUUUAGGAAUUUAAACCUUUGUACAUUUUUUUAUUAUGAUAAAUGUGAACGAUUUAUUCCCAAAUUUGUGUUAAUUUUAGGAUUCUUAGGGAAAAUAGAGAUGCAACGGCUAAAGGAGAAUGGACAAGAUACAAAACACAAAGUUGGAACUUUUGAAUCUUGCCCAAAACUAGCCCAAGCAAGACCACUCUAGAGAAAGUAGCCCAAGAUUCACCCCAAGGCUCACCCAAGCGAGUUCACUCUAGUGAAGUUGGGCUUUAUCUCCUCAAACUCGCUUAUGCAAGUAAAAACUCGCUUAAGUGAGAUGUCACUUAGCCCAAGCCCAACUAGGUUAAAUAGAAGGUGUGAGGCAUAACCCUAUACAUCAUUGGGACAAUAGAGAGAGAUAGAAACCUUUAUAGGAGGCAGUCCUCAAGGAGAAACAUAUUGGAUCUUCUUUUCUUGUUUUCCUUGCUUGUAAUGGCUAACAUUUGGGAAUAUGAGUAAUCUAUUCAAACUCAUAUGCAUUAAGGUGAUAUUUAUCUAUAAUAUUCAAUUCUUGAUUGAUGAUUGGUAUUAUCAUUUUAUUCUCAAAGCUUGAACUAUUCAUGAUUUUGAUCCUUAAAUUUGGCUAGAAAGUACUUCUAAGAAUUUGACCUUAAUGAUAAUGCUUAACAUAUUUGAAAUCUUAACUGCUUUAUAAAAUCUAUUCGUAAUGAUAAGGAGUUCUUAUAAAUAUGCGAGAAAUCAAUAUUUAGGAGACUCUCUUAAUAAUUUUUAUGCAAGGAAUCAAUACGAAUGCUUUUUAUAUAUGCAUCAAUAUCAGUCAAGAUAGAAUAUUAUAUGCUUUCGAAAAAUACAAACGAGUGAGUGUUGGAUAUCUCAAGCUACUCAACUAAAUAUGUUUGAUGAAGUCGUAAGCCUUGAAGAGAAGACUGGUUGCCUCGUAAAGUCUAGGUAGCUUAGUCUAGUGUUUGGGUGACUUGAUUUAUCAUCUAUCUCAAUCAUAUGAUGAAGGUGCACAAAACCUUUUUGGCUUAGUUAAACUUUUUUAAAAUAACUAUUUUUUUUUUCAAUUAAUUAAAAAUGCUUUCAACUGAUUAAAACUUUGUUUCCUGAAACUCUACAACUUUUUUAAUUGGUUAAAAUUCUUCUUACCUGAUAAGAAUAGUUUUUCAAUUAAUUAAUUGAAGAAACAAUAUGUUAAAAUUUAUCUUAUGAGUUUAUUUCUAAAAACUGUUUUGAGUUAGUUUUGUUUCCAAAUUUUCAAUUUCAACUAUUUCAUUUUAUUAAAAAAAUUUGUCUCAAACUAUCUAAGUGUUUUCAGAAAAAUCAACCAGUUAUGAAUUUUGUUUCUUUUUUAAGUCUAUAAAAAAGAGGGUUUGAUUUCUGAUUUAAAUAUCUCUUCAUUACACACACAUACUUGUUUUCAAAGCUUGAGAGAAUUUUGAGUGAAUUGGUCUUUUUGAGAAGUUUUGAUUCUUUGAGAGUUCUUGGAGGUUUCACUUUCAUCACUUACUUGAGGUCAAGGAUUCAGCAAAGUGUCGGUUCUUGGAGGUCUCUUUUUUAGUCUUCUAAAUCUACGUAAAGGUGUUUUCGUUUAAUAUCACUUCUAUUUUGUAAGAUUAUGUUGUAUUGCUUCUAAGAUAGUGUUUCUUGAAGUAUAACACUGUUGUAAUAGGGUUUUACAAGGUGUGUUCUUAGUUCUUGUAUUGUUCAAGAGUUGUUCUUAGUUAUCUUUGUGUAAAAAGAUUAUUUUGGUUUAGUGAUAUCCAUCUUAGUGAGGUGGAACUCGAUGUAGCUCAUUUUGAGUGAAACAGUAUAAAUCUUUGUGUUCUUUGAGUUUUCUUUCCCAACAUAUUCUCUUUUCUGCAUAAACUGUGCUUACUAGUGUGAAAUUUAAUCUGUUAUUUUACAAAUGAAUCAAAAAAAAAAAUUCAUUUGUUGGUUUUGUCAUCAAAAAUUUAAUUUGUUAUAACUUGAAAGUUAAUCUGUUAAUUUUUCUUGUUUAGACUUGAAUCAAAAUUUCAAUAUAUUCUUUUAAGUUUUAAUUUGUUAAAUCUGGUAGACUAGAAUUGAUAUCAAGAUCUGCUACUAUUCAAGAAUAAUUUGAUAAAAUUCCUUUUAAGUGAAUAUUUUGACAUUGUUUCUAAGUUUGCUUAAGUGAAAAUAUUAAUUUGUUGUUUCUGUAAACAAUUUGUUGUUUUUCCUAAGGUAGUAUUCUGUUAAGGAAAUUUCAAUCAAUUAUUUCAUAAAACAAGUAGUUAUUUUUCUGUUAGGAUUGAAUAAUUUGAUCUUUGCGAAAAUUAGCCUAAAUACAGUACACCCCCCUUUUGAACUUAGAUUCCCAUAAAGUCAACAUUGAGAAUGAUGAAUCUCAAUCCCAACUGACUGAUACAAAUCGUUUACUUUGCUUUAUUUAAUUUAUUGCAAAUUCAUAGUACAAACUUGUGCAUUUGAGCAAUAAUAAAUUAUUUUUCAUAAACUAUUUUCUAAAAAGUAUAAUAUUUGUAUCUAAAUCUAUAAAAAACGGAUCUUUAUACUUUGAGAUCAUUUUGCAUUUUCAAACCUGUGAGAGUGUGUUCAGAAUAGUUUUUUACAAAGUUUUUCAAAGAUGUUUUCUGAUUUUCUUUGAUCUUGUUUGGUGAGGGGUAUUUCACUGCUUUGGAAAAGUAGAAACCUUAUUUCUUUGUACUUAUUUUAAUUCUUUACAUUCUAUUACAAUGAAAGAUAAAGUUUCUUGGUUGUUAUAAUCUAUAACAGGGUGUUACAGGGGUAGAAUAAAAUUUUGUAGGGUUCAAGAACUGUCCUCUUGUGUGUGUUCUGUAAAGAAUUGUUUGUUUUAGUGAAAACUGCUUCAAUAUAAAGUGGUAACUGGAUGUAGCUCUUAAAAAAGAAUGAACCAGUUUAAAAAUACUUGUGUGCUUUGGUUCUCAAUCUUUCUACACUUUAAUCUGCUUCAUAUUUAUUUUUAACCAAUUGUUUUAAAAAAAGACCAGUUAAAAUUUUCUGUCACAUACUGACAAAAUUUACAUCAAUUGUUUUUGAAAAAGAAUUUGUUGUAUUUUAUCUACUACUAUGAUGUGAGUUGAUUUUAGGAUUGCACAUUUUAAUUGGUUGCUCCUGUUUAUGGUUUUGAGAUUACCAAUUUAAGGUGAAAACCCUACGAAAAUUCCCACUAGACACGAACUUAACCAAGUGGUUAAGUAAGUGUGAAGGUUCACUUCAGAAGGGCAAAGAGAAAAACAAAAUAAUAAGGUGAUUAUGAUGCAAGGGGCGGAAUUUAAGAACAAUGGAAGUAAAUGAUGAAUGAAGAUGACCAGAAGGAAAUGACAUAAACAAGUAACAUAAAUGGCGCAAGGAAGGAUGGAAAAAGAGAUGAGAUGAAGAAAGCUUAUGGUGAAGAAUGGUGAAGAUGAUCACGCCACUUGGAGGGUGGGAAACUCCAAGAUAAGUAAAGGAAGAGAUGCUACUUGAAAUGCUCACACACUCAAGGUAGUUAGGAUCAUUUAAAACAUAUUAAAACCAUUUAACAGAAUUUUCUUAAGGUUUUCAGGAAAACAAUCGAUUGAUUUUUCGAAACAAUCGGUUGAAUUGACUUGGCAGCAAAGUCAAGCUUUUCAAAACCUUUUAAAAAACUACUAAUGUAAAAUAACCUGUUGUUUUGAAAUUUCAACCUGUUGAAAUUUCAACAACAUUUUAGAAAACUCAUUUUUUCAAAAGGUUAAAGAUUCAAAUGAACUUGGAUCAUCUUAAGAAGUGAAUUAACAAGUUUCAAACAACUAGACAACACACACACACCCAACUCCAAGGUCUUCAAGCUUUCCUCUUGGAUUUGGACACAACAAAGCAUCUUGUUCAACAAUCUCCCCCUAUUUGAUGAAGGCAAAUCCAUGGUUUGUUUGUGUUGUUGUUUUUGAACUUGAAAAGUCCUGCAAAACAUAAUUUGUGCAUAUACAAAGCAAGUAUACCAGCAGGAUACCAAGGCACACAAAACCAGUUUUCUGCAUAAGCCUUUAAGUAGAAAAACCAGUUAAAUAACCAUAAAAACUAGUGCCAAAAUGAGACUUGUGUGCAGCAGAACUAUGAUGAAUAAGAGCAUGGCAGCAGCAAAAUUUAAACCAUGAUAAAACCAGAUAACACCAGAGUGUAGCAGCACCAAUACAACACAUAAAACCACAUUAUUCUCCUCUUAUUUUUCUUCACAAAUAGAAUGGAAGAAGGGAUAAAAACAGAAUAACCUGUUUGCAUCAAUGUUUUCCAGCAUUGAAAACCAGCAUAUAACAACAACAUAAUAAAUCAGAAAACCAGUGUGUGUAGCAGCACCAUUGCAGCAACAAAUCUUUGAUACCAUAUCAAAAUUGCAGCAAAAAUCUAUGGUGUAUCAGAGCUAUGACAGCAGUAGAAUCAAAGUACCAUAGACCCAGAAAUUUUAGCAAGGAGACCACAGUUUCUCCCCCUAUCUUUUCUUCAUCCAGCACUUCAAGUUGGUCAAAUGAUUGCUCAAGAGGUGGAUUUGGUAGAAAUAUUCUUUCUUCUGUUAAAAGAAAACCUUCCAGACGUUCCAAAGAUACAUUCACAAAUAUUCAUCAACCCCAUGAUCACCAAUGUGGUUGCCAUUCAUAAAAAAGCUUUGUAUUUCAAGGAAAACAAAGAAUAUAUCUCUUUAUGAUCUAAUUCAGAGGCACAAAGAAUGCAUAUUUGACUCAUAAUGGGUUAUGAAAGAAAAAGAAAUAGUUGUAAUCAUGCAUAAGAAAUCAUAACAGUUUUAUUCAAAUGUGCCAGAGGUAAAACAAUCGGUUGUUUCGUGAAAACAAUCAGUUGUUUUUCUGAGACAACAAGAAAAAGUUAUUUUUCAAAGCAAUCAUCUUUCAAAGUGAUGGGAAAUGCAUAAUGAAAUACAUUCAUUCCUUUGCAUUACCUUAAGCAUGUUUAGAAUUUCAUUUGGUCUUAUAAAGCCAAAAGCAUAGGAUGAACAUAUAUAACUUACAAAGCCUCUCAUACCACUGCCUUGGAGCUUGCUUAAGCCCAUACAAGUCCUUUUUCAGCUUGUAUACAUGGUUAGGAUGUUGAUGAUCUUCACUGAUGAUUCCAUUGAGAAAAGCACUCUUAACAUCGAUUUGAAACAAUUUGAAUCCACGCAUACAAGCAAAGGCCAACAACAACCUUAUAGCUUCUAAUCUUGCAACUGGAGCAAAGGUUUCACCAUAAUCUAUGGUCUUCUUCUUGAUUAUAACCUUUAGCCACAAGCCUUGUCUUGUUCCUUGUAGUUACUCCAGAUUCAUUCAGCUUGUUUCUGAAAACCCAUUUGCAUACAAUGAUGUUCUCCACUAAAAGAUUCCUUGGAAUUCUCCAUUCUUUUGGCAGCUUUUCCUGUUGCAUAAUUUCAACCAGUUAUUUCACAGAAUCAAUCGGUUGUUUUCUAGACAGGAUUCCAGUUUCUCCAAGGUGAUGUUCUGUUCAUCUUCUUCUGCAUAAACCUUUGUAGAACCCUGAUCACUGUGAAUGAUUUCAUCAAACACCACAUGGACAGACUCCUCCACAGUUAUAAGCCAUCAACAACACCAGAUCAGACUCUUUAUUCUUGAAGUUUCUUUACAUAGGUCAUGAAUUUUGACUUGUCAAGAAUAUGAGUAAGGUGUAUGCUCUGGAACCAUAAUAAAAAGCAUCACUUUGAUUAGUCUUCAACAUAGCACCUGUACUUGAAAAGUCCUGCAACACAGAAUUGAUGCAUAUAUAAAGCAAGUAUAGCAGCAAGAUAACAAGACACACACAAACUAGUUUUCUGCAUAUACAAUAUUAGCAAAAAAACCAGAAAAAUUGAAGUAAUCAAGUGCUUUCAAGUGCAGAGAAGCAACAACAUAAUGCAUCAGUUUUAAAGCUAUCUUAUACAACCAAAUCAAGCAUAAACAACUCCCCCUAUUUGCUCUCACAAAUAGACAAUGAGAAGGGUUGUACAAAGCAGAAAUCAGAAUGAUAAUAUAGUAAACCAGCAGUACAAACAAUGUUGACAUUUCAAGAAUAGAAAAAGAUAUAGAGCUUUCAAGAAAACAAGUGGAUAUAAUAUUUUAUUAUCAAAUUCUGAGGCACAUUCAAAUUUGUCCAAAAGAAAGAUUUGAAAAAGAGGAAUGGUUUAAUCAUGCAUAAGCAAACUUGGCAGCAUUAUACAAAGGUGCCAGAGGAAAAACAAUCGGUUGUUUCGAAAAAACAAUUGGUUGUUUUACUGUGACAACAAAAAGAACAUUUUUCAUAACCAAAAUUUACCUUUUAAAUUGAUGAAAAUGCAGUAUGCAAUUUGUUCAUACCUUUGCACAGAGAACCCCAAUAGAUUCACCCAAAAAGAAGACUUUGAGAUGUUCAUAUGGUCACAAGGCAUACAUACAUAAAUUGAGAAAUAAAAACACACAUACUCUCUUUGAAGUUUCUUUUGAUCAACACUAUGCAUGUGCCAAGGAUGUCUCUUGACAUUCAAAGAACCCUGCAAGACAUAUACAAUUGAAAAGUGUAGGUACAAAGAUUGCCUUUACUCUUGAUAUUCUUCCCUUUAGCAGUCAUUCUUCAAGUCCAAAAAUGAUUCUUGGUUGCCAAGGAUACCUACAAGAAAAGAUUAAGAAGCAAGAUUUGGUCCCCUUAUGCAUUUGGGUCCAAUUAAGUUAGUAGAAGUCUUAAGAACCUCAGAAACCUUAGGAACCAAUUUUAAAAUACCUUUAGGAACAAAAUAUUUCCUAAUAUUGCAGAAUCUAAUAGAGUGGCAUCUCUUCAUGCAAUAAAAGCAUGUAACAACCGGUUGUUUCGAUUUUUCAAUCGGUUGUUUUUCUGGCAGUUUUGAAAAAGACUUUGAAAACUCAGUUUUCUUGCUCUGUGGAUUAAAACCUAAACCUACUUUUCCAAAAACACAAUUUUGAGAUGCCAAGAAAGUCUCAAAGUUGGAUUACCCUUUGAAAGCUUAUCCACAAUUUUCACAAGGUAGUGAACCUUCUUUUCAAGAGAUUCAAAAUUUUCACAAACAAAAGAGUCACACUUGCAAGAAGAGUUCUUGUAAAGCAUUUCAAGAUUUUCAAAAUCAGUUUUUGAAUUCUCCAACUCUUCUUUUAGUGCCUUGACUCUGUUUUCAAGCCAGAUAGUCAACCCUUUCAAUUGGUUGUUUAAGAGUGCCAAACAAUUAGCUUCAUCAUGUGUUUCUUUUAAAAGCUUGAACAAGUUGACUGUAAUUUUCAGCAUUUAAAGAAGUACAAUAACUUACACUACUUGCAUCAUCUUCUUCCUUGACCAUCAAACACAGAUUGACUUCUUUUUUUUUUAUUUCUUUUCCUUCUUGCUUGACUUCUUCUCCUUGCUCUCUUUAUUUCAUUGGUUCCCUCAUGAGUUACUUCAAGUUUAUCCCACAUCUCCUUAGCAUAUCCACAUUUUGAGACCCUGAAAAACUCAUCAGAGUUUAAAGCAGAGGUGAUAAUAUUUUUUGCAAUGAAAUCAAACUUUGCUCUUUUGUUUUCUGCAUCAGUCCAUUGGGACCAAGGCUUUUCAACAAAAACACCAUCCUUUUCAAACUUAGGAAUAAAACGGUCAUUUUCAAUUGCAUCUCAUAUUCCUUUAUCAAGAGAAUCAACAAAGAUCUUCAUACGUACCUUCUAAAAUUGGUAAUUCAAACCACAAAAUAAAGGUGCUUUGUUUAUUGAUGCACCCUCCCCAAAGGUAAAUUGUUUAUAAAAGAUUUUCGCAAACUUUGAAGGUAUAAUGAAAUCCAAUGAAGAAUCACAAAGAAAGAAACUAAGGAAAGCAAUGCACAAAGUUGUUUUAGUUGAUUUCCAUAAAAUCAACCGGUUGUUGUUGCGAUUCAACCGAUUGUUUUUAUCUGCAGUUAAUAAAAACAACUUAAAACAGAUAUAUGUGAGAUCAUGGAAAGAGAGAAUCACACAAACAAAUUUAUACUGGUUCAGUCUUACACCAAGAGCUACAUCCUAUCCCCAGAAACCAUUGGGUAAUCCACUAUGCAAUCAAAACCAAAUUACAAACACCACACACCAAAGUAGUGACCUUGAACCCCUCAAGAAACACACUACAUUUGGCAAACCACACCAAGAGUAUUGAUCUUAAACACCCCAAGAACACAAAACACUACUUGGCAACACAACACCAGAAAUACAGUAAUCAAGGAAGAAGGGAAUAAAUACACCUGGGAAUUACAAGGCUUAAAGUUCAGAAUUACAACCCAAUCCUAUUCUACACACUUAAGAAUGAUCACUAGCUCUUUCAAAUCUUGGAAAAACUGUUUUGAUAAACUCUUUCUCUUACUCCAAGAUUAGGAGCGUAAAACCACCUUUAUAUAGACCAACCAAGUGGUAAAAAACAUUGAAAAAAAGGAGCCAAGGUAUUUAGGAUCAUUUAAAACAUAUUAAAACCAUUUAACAGAAUUCUGUUAAGGUUUUCAGGAAAACAAUCGAUUGAUUUGUCGAAACAAUCGGUUGAAUUGACUUGACAGAAAAGUCAAGCUUUUCAAAACCUUUUCAAAAACUUCUAAGGUAAAACAACCCGUUGUUUCGAAAUUUCAACCUGUUGAAAUUUCAACAACAUUUUAGAAAACUCAUCUUUUCAAAAGGUUAAAGAUUCAAAUGAACUUGGAUCAUCUUAAAGAGUGAAUUAACAAGUUUCAAACAACUAGACAACACACACACACCCAACUCCAAGGUCUUCAAGCUUUCCUCUUGGAUUUGGAGACAUCAAAGCAUCUUGUUCUACAAUCUCCCCCUAUUUGAUGAAGACAAAUCCAUGGUUUGUUUGUGUUGUUGUUUUUGAACUUGAAAAGUCCUGCAAAACAUAAUUUGUGCAUAUACAAAGCAAGUAUACCAGCAGGAUACCAAGGCACACAAAACCAGUUUUCUGCAUAAGCCUUUAAGUAGAAAAACCAGUUAAAUAACCAUAAAAACUAGUGCCAAAAUGAGACUUGUGUGCAGCAGAACUAUGAUGAAUAAGAGCAUGGCAGCAGCAAAAUUUAAACCAUGAUAAAACCAGAUAACAUUAGAGUGUAGCAACACCAAUACAACACAUAAAACCACACCAUUCUCCCCCUAUUUUUCUUCACAAAUAGAAUGGAAGAAGGGAUAAAAACCGAAUAACCUGUUUGCAUCAAUGUUUUCCAGCAUUGAAAACCAGCAUAUAACAACAACAUAAUAAAUCAGAAAACCAGUGUGUGUAGCAGCACCAUUGCAGCAACAAAUCUUUGAUACCAUAUCAAAAUUGCAGCAAAAAUCUAUGGUGUAUCAGAGCUAUGACAGCAGCAUAAUCAAAGUACCAUAGACCCCAGAAAUUUUAGCAAGGAGACCACAGUUUCUCCCCCUAUCUUUUCUUCAUCCAGCAAUUCAAGUUGGUCAAAUGAUUGCUCAAGAGGUGGAUUUGGUAGAAAUAUUCUUUGUUCUGUUAAGAGCAAACCUUCCAGACGUUCCAAAGAUACAUUCACUACUCACUCAAGAUAAGACCUAAUGUUUAAAGCAAACUAGCCUCACACAAUUUGUUCAAAUUGUUCCUUCUUCUAUAAAACUUAGCAUGAAAAAUACAAGGAGUAUGGCACCCUAUUUAUAGGAGAUGGUGCCUUGGAAAAAAAGAAGCAAUGGUAGGAUGCGAAAUAAAAAGAAAGGUACGGCCUUAAGCAUUGACUAAUUCAAUGCCACACCAUAAAGCCUAAUCUUUUAGAAGAUAGGUCAAAAUCCUACCCUAAAAGGCUAUGCUCAAGCUAAAGUGAUAAGCACACCUCCUAUUAUGCUAAAGGAAACCUAUUCUACUGAGAUUAAAAAUAAAGACAAUAGCUGAUGCUCAGCUCCCAAGGCCUGUGCUCUACUCUUUGUGAUCCUCUAGGGAAGGCUAGGCGCUGAAGCAUUGGCUAGAGGUAAAUCCUGACCUAACCUUGUGUCUUGAGUCGUGCUUCGAGUCAUCCUCCUGGAAGUGUAGGCUUGGUCAGUGGGUGCACCCUCCUUUAGGUCCUCAUCACGACCUUAAAUCCACUCAGUGUCAUUUCCCUUGCACUCAAGCGAACUGAGAUGCAGUUUUUAAGGUGCUCUCGACCUCAAAUCCGCUUAACGCCAUUUCCUUGUGCUCAACUGGAUUAAGAUGCAAUUUUUGUGGUGUUAUCUACCUCAUCAAAUCCACUCAACAUCAUUUCCCUAUGCUCAAGCGAAUUGAUAUGCAGUUAUUUGGGUGCUCUCAUCCUCAAAUCUACUAGCAUCAGCACCCUACGCUUAGCUCUAGCUCCGUAAGCGCAAGCCAAAUUUUCAACACUAGUCAUUUUUGUUCAACUACCUCUUGUUCUUUUUUAUAAGUCAUGGAACUUAAUUAAAUAUUCUAAAAAUUUCAUUUUGUAAAUUAUAAAUUAUUACAACUUUCUAAGACCUAUAUUUGAUUAAUAUUAUGCAACUUAAGUGUUUAAAAAAACAAGUAAAUCUAACAUUUAUCAUAUAUUGAACUGAUUUGUGAAUUUUAAAUGUUAUGUGAUUAUUGUUGAUAUUUUCUAACUGUUUUAAAAGUAUAAAUUUUUGUGUGGAUAUCCUAACUCUACUAGUAUAUUGGAAUUAUAUAGAUGAAAAUUAUCAGGUGGGAAAAGUUGAAGGAGAUUCAUAUAAUUGAUUCUGUGGUUUGAAAAAUAAUCGGUCAAAGAAGAUCAUAGACAUUAACCCUGUCCUUUAGGUUGAAUGUAUUCAUAUGAAUAUGUGGUUGUGUUGAGAGAUUCCCCAACAAGUAGUACAACAAUAUAUGCCUAUCUCUGAGUCUAAAUCAUUGCACGAGUCUUCCAAAAGUAGAGUCAAGUCUCUAUGUGUAGAUGUAAGUGGAUUUCUGGCAUGAGUGAUGUCGAACAUGAGAUAUUUUUAAGCACUUGAUUGUUUAGUACAUUGAAAUGAAUGAAAUGUGAUGAUUCAUAUGUUUUUUAUUGGAUUAUUUGAAUCUAGAGUUAUAUUGAAAGUUUUAAAAAUUUCUAACUUACCUUAUUUUUCUUGUUUUUGGUUAUGUUUUUAAAUAUGUGAUAAUCAUGUAUUACAUAUGUUUUUUUAUCAGCAAAGAAUAAAUAAAAUAAAAUGAGACAUUUCAGGGGUGUCUCAACCCUUAUACACAAAAUAGCCAAAGUUAAUAUGCUCAAUACUUGACCAUACAAGGUCUACAAACCUCCAAUCCAAACCUCAAAGGAAAGGAAUGACAGACCACAUCAACAGUCAAUCCUUACUACCCUAUCCAGGUUCAUACAAUCAGUAUUUAGUCUAAACAAUACACACAAAGCAAACCCUACUACAACCAAAGACUACAAAUACGGUUACAAACCACAAAACUAAUACAAAACAAAAUUUCUCACUCAUAGCCAGACCCACAACGUCAUGCCAAAAGGAACUCACUCUUCUUCAACGCCUAAACUACCUCUCGUAAUUUUUGGCAUAUAUAGAUAUUUGAAAUUUUUUAAGAAAAGAAAUAUUUUUUUUAAUAUUGUGAAUCAUAUGUUUACAUAUAUUUACUUAUUAUAUAAAUAUAUUCUUUAAGUAAUCUAACUAUGGAUAUUACAUAAGGAAUAAAAUAAGAAAUAAAGUUACUGUAUUACAUACACAAAAUAAUAGUGUAAAUAAAAAAAAUAUAAAACAUGAAGGUAUGUAAAUUUAGAUAAAUAAUAUUUUUAAUAUAUGUUUUAUCUAUAAAAAUUGAACAUUUAUAUAACUCGUAGAUGACCAAUUAAAUUAAAAAUACUAAUUUUAAUAUAACUUUACAUUAAUGUACUUUUAGUUUUUUUAAAACCAAAAAAUUAAUAUCACAGGUCUUGAAUGAUAAUUUUAUAUUUUAUUAAAAUUGUGUUAUUUUAAUAUAGUUAUUUUGUUUUAUACUGUAUAAAAAUAGUGAGAAAUAGCUGUGUUUGCCAUCAGAGAUACGACAACAAAUAAAAUAUACAUAAAAAAAAGAGUGGUUGAAUCAUUGAAAAAUAGUGGUCGAUAAUGCUGCCGUGCAGUCUGCAAUUGCAACUUAGAAAGAUGGAGAAUUGACGCUAGUGGAGGAGUCGGUAUUUCAUUCUACAAAAAUCAAUGCAGUUUUGAUUCACAAUAAUAAGAGAAGUCAAAAACAAAUCAAAGUUUCUCUCAGUGACCUCCCAUUCAGAUUCUGUAUAUUUGACACCGGCCAAUAAAGUGGGGCAGACACGUUCAACUAUCGUUUGCAAUCAAUAUCUUUUAAAUAUAUUCAAAUUUUAAUUUAUGAAAGAAUUAAAGUUUAAGUUUAUUUUCUGUUCUCAGAGGAAAAGGGGGUUCUUUUGAGGUCGAGAGACUAAUCUACUAAGAAGUUGAGUUCGUAGUUUGAAGGAUUAAUUGUCCAGCUCUUAAAAUUUAAGGAGGAUCUUCCAACAAAAAUUCUCCAACAUUUAAGUUACUAAUUUUUUUUUGGUUCUUUUCAAUUAGGGAGUUCAUUUUAGGAGGUGAUUCGACUGGAUUUGUAAAAAAUUAUGAAAAAUUUUAAAUUGUUUAUAUUAAGGUAAAUAAAUUAAAAAAUGAAUGAAAAUAUUUAUAAAAAAUUGUAGAUAAUGUGAUGUGUAAAUGAUUGACGAGUGUGAUUAAAAUUUUAUUUUUUUAAUAAAUAAAAAAUAAAAUUAUAAAUUUAUUUUUAUGUUUAAAAAUAAUUAAAAAAAUAUUUAUUUAUUUAUAUAUUUUAGUUGUUUGUAAUUAAAACAUAUUAUUUUGAAAAAUAUUAAUUAUAUAAAAUUGUUGGAAUAUGAAAAGUUAUUAGAUUUUUUUUUAAUUUCAAUUAAAAAUAAUUUUUUAAUAUUAUUAUUACAUAAAUUUAUUUUUUAAUAUGAAGAAAUACAUUUAUUUUUGUUAUAUUAUAAUUUUAUUAUUAUUAUUGUUGUUAUUUUUAUUAUUGUUAAAUAUUCAAUAAAAUUAAAAUUAAAAUAAAUUUAUUAUUAUUAAUAUUAUUAGUAUUUAUUAUAUUUAUUUAAUCGUUAUUUUAUUUUUAUUAUUGAAAAUUUGUUGUCAGGAAAAAAAGAGGGUAUUUUGGUAGUUUUUGCACAUACAGAUAUGGCCUUCUAUCAUUUCUUUGCAAACUGAGCGAGAGUGUGAAGAGUAUGCACCCCUGCAAUUAUUUGGUCUCAUUUCUACACAAAUUCAUAGAUCUAAACGUGUCUCUGCCCCUCUUUUUCGUGUUCAUGAACAGUCCAUCAAUUAAACCAAACUAACUCUAAGAAUUCAAAGAAGUUUGGAAAUUAUAUGAGUAUAAUAGUGAAUAAUUGAUUGAGUUCGUAAUUCUUUUAGAAUUUAUGUAUUUAUAAGUUUUUGGAUCCUUGAAAAAAAUUGAGAAGAUAGAGUUAGUUACCAACUUGAAGUUUAUUACACUAUAAAUUUAGUUAUAGCACAUUCGAGUUUUUUUUUAUGUUAUUAUGUAUAUUGUUACAAACAUAUGUAAGCAUAUCUCGGAUCAGGUAGGUAUAUAAAUAUUUUGAGUUUGGAAGUAAUAAAUGAGGUGUGAGUAGAUCGAUUUAGUGGAUGAACAAGUUAUAACAUUUUAUUGGAUUUCAACUUAAAUUUUUGAAGUUGUAUUUUCACACCUAUUGUUUGAGGUCUCUUAGUCGUUGUAGGUAAUGAUGUGGAAGCCAUAAGCAAGAAUGAUAACCUCGAUACCCAAUACAUUAAAAGUUACGUGUCAUCUUACAUUAAAGAUAAUAUCAUUUUAUAUUACCUGCAAUAUCUUACAUUUCUUAAUUUGUGGAAACAAGUAAGUAAGAUGAUGAGACAAAAUAACAAUCGUGUUACUCAAUUAAUAAAAAAAUUUAUGACUUAAAACUUAAUUAAUCCUAUUAUUUUUAAUAUGCAUACAAAAACAUAGAUUACAUUUAUUAUGAAAUAAAGAUAGUAAUUGUGGGUGUUUAUUGGGUUAGAUAAUGUAGAAACUAAUGGAAGGAAAUAACAGAAGUCUAAAGGUUGUAGAAACUAAUUGAAUGUAAUUGCACGAAAUUGCAAAACUGUUCAAUUGAUUCAUUCAUUUUGAUUUAAUUCAAUAAUAUAUAUAAUAAAAUUACAAAUACUAAAAGCUAUAAAAUAGAAAUAUUAACAACCCUAUAAAGUGAUCAUUAAUGCAAUAAUAACGGUAAAUAAUUUAAGGGUAAUAAAAUCUGAAUUAAUAACCAACAUUUAAGGCUAAUAAAAUCCGAAUUAAUAACCAACAUCCUCCCUUAAUUCUGAUUUGGAACAACCUUCAUGCCCAACAAAUUUCUUAACUUGAUGAAAGCAUCAAUCUUCAAUGGCUUAGUGAAAACAUCUGCAAUAUGAUCUUAGGAUAUGCAGUAUUCCAAUUCCAAUUUGAUCAUGUUCUUCCCAACUUGGUCUCGCAGGAAGUGAUAUCGAAUAUCAAUAUGUUUACUUCUUUGAUAAAAAAACCGGAUUCUUUGCAAGAUUAAUUGCAGAGACAUUGUCAACAUAAAUCUUAAUUGGAACAUCUAGAUUAAAACCAAAACCAAUUUGAGUCAUGAUAUUGCUAAGCUAAACUGAUCGACAAGCACUUGCUGCUGUUACAUAUUCAGCUUCACAAGUAGAUGAUGCAACAAUUGAUUGUUUCUUUGAUGACCACAAGCAAACAGUCUUUCUGAUCAUAAAACAAUGACCACUUGUGCUCUUCCUCUCGUCUGAAUCUCCAUCCCAAUCAUUGUCUGAGUAUCUGACGAUCUCAAUCUUCUUAGAUGAAGAGUAAAAUAUACCAAAAGUUGUAGUACCUUUGAUGUAGCACAUAAUUCUCUUUACAACUUGUAAAUGAACUUGUCGAGGUGAAUCCAUGUAUCGACUGACCAAUCCCAUAGCAUAUGUUGGGUCUAGUACACGUGAGAUAUCUAAGGCUCCCAACAAUCUGCUUAAAGUAUGUUGCUUCUACAGUUCGCCCAUCACCUUCCUUCGUAAGCUUAAUUCCAAAUUCAAUUGGAGUCAUAACUGAGUUUGAAUCCUCCAUCUUAAACUUCUUUAAAAUCUCAGCAACAAAUUUCCUCUGAUGAAUGAAAAAUCCAUCGUCUCCUUGGAUGACUUCAAUGCCCAAAAAGUACGACAUAAGACCGAGAUUAGUCAUCUCAAAUUCAUUCAUCAUGAUAUGCUUGAAGUGACCAAUCAUUUUGAGAUUACUUCCUGUAAAAAUCACAUCAUCAACAUAAAGACAUAAAAUUAGCAAAUCUCCAUAAUCAUUAGCCUUUACAUAAAGACCGUGAUGCACAUUUUUUGAAUCCAUUGUUAUAAAGAAAUUAAUCAAUCCUUUUGUUCCAAGCUAUUGGUGCCUUUUCAAGACCAUAUAAAGCCUUAGUUAGUUUGUACACCUUCUCCUCUUUUCCAAAUUGUAUGAAACCCGACGACUGCUUUACAUAAACCUUUUCAUCAAGUGGGUCGUUUAGAAAUGCAGACUUGACGUCCAUUUGGUGAAUUUUCCAUUGUCUUUGUGCAACUAAAGCAUUGAUUAAUCUCAUUGUUUCCAUUCGAGCUACAGGAGAAAAUAUUUCUUCGUAAUCAUAGCCUUCUCUUUGCUUGAAUCCCUUUGCCACCAACCUUGCCUUGUAUCUAUCAAUCUCACCAUUUGCUUUCACUUUAAUCUUGUACACCCACUUCGCAUCAAUUGCUUUGUGUCCUUUUGGAAGAUCAGUGAGAUGCCAUGUAUUAUUUUUCUCAAUCGCCAUUAACUCUUCAUCCAUAACCUCUUUCCAUUUAGGGUGUUGAAUGGCAUCUGCAAGUCUCACGGGUUCUGAAUCUGCAAGAAAAGAAAAGUGAACCAAAUCUCCAUUGUCAUCAACUUCAUCAUCAAGAUUUACUUCGCAACCUUGAAGGUGUACAGGUUGUCGUUGUUGCCUUCUUGGUCGCUUCAUCAUAGUUGCAAUUGGAGCUGCAACUUCAGGUUGAAUUACAGCUUCAGGUUGAAUUACAGCUUCAUGUUGAACUGUAGGUGCUUCAAGAGUGACUUCAUCUUCCACAUCAUCAUUCAAAAUGUAAAUAUAUCGUUUUUUCGAAUCCAUUUCAGCUGCUACGUUUCAUUGUCAUUCCUCAUCUUCGGUAAAUGUAACAUCACGACUGACAAUCAUCUUCUUUGUCAUUGGAUUGUACAGUUUGUAUCCUCCAUGCUUAUAUCCAAUGAAAAUGGUCUUCACUGCCUUAUCAUCCAACUUCAAUCUUGUUGCCUUGGGGACAUGAGCAUAAGUAAUUGACCCAAAUACUUUCAAGUGUUGCACAUUGGGUUUGAAUCCGCUCCAUGCCUCAAUCGGAGUUGUGUUAGGAACACUCCGAGUGGGUGAUCUGUUUAUCAAAUAUACCGCACAUGUUACGGCCUCAACCCAAAAAUAAUUUGGCAAACCUUUCGCAUUAAGCAUGCUCCUCGCCAUGUCCAUGAUUGUUCUAUUCUUUCUCUCGGCAACUCCGUUGUGUUGAGGUGUGUAGGGACAGGUUAUGUUAUGCUACAACCCAAGUUCUUCACAAUGCAUCUUGAACUCAUUAGACUUGUACUCACCCCCUCCAUCACUACGCACCAUCUUAAUUAGUCUGUCACUCUGUCUUUCAACAAAUGCUUUAAAUAUUUUAAAGCAAUGGACUACCUCAUCCUUGCUUUUCAAUAGAUAAAUCCAGGUUUUCCUUGAAAAAUUGUCAAUAAAGGUUAAAAAAUACUUAUUACCUCCAAUUGAUGAUAUGUUCAUCGGGCCACAAACAUCUGUAUGAACAAACUUCAAAGGAAAUUUCGCAUGCCAAAGACUCCUUAACAAAUGGUAUCUUGUGACUCUUUCAAAAAAUGCAAGCAUCACACAAUUGAUCAGGGUGAUGAAUAUGGGGUAAACCAUUCACUAAAUUUCGUUUGGAGAGAUUUUCCAAACUCUGAAAAUUCAAGUGCCCAAAGCGUAAAUUCCACAACCACGAUUCAUUAUUCACUAUUGCAUUCAAGCACUUGAAAUCACCCAUAUGAAAAUCUACUGGAAACAUGCGAUUUUUUGAUAAAAAGGUUUUAAGAAUCAAACUACCUUUUUUUUAUAAAAAAUUGAGAAUUGAUUUUCAACUAUGUGCAUCACGUAACCCUUUUCGGCUAGCUGUCCCAUACUCAACAGAUUACUUUUCAUAUCAGGUACAUAGAAAACAUGAUAGAUGUACCUGUGAUCACCAUUCUUCAAUGUGAUAAGAAUUCGCCCUUUUCCAGUCACUGAAACGAACCUUCCAUCCCCGAAUUUCACUUUUGUACGAAAUGAGUAAUCCAAAUUUGCAAACAACUCCUUCUGACCACACAUAUGAUUAGUGCAACCUGUAUCCAAAUACCAAGUCUGAUUGUUUGGGGUUUCAUUUGAUGUGGGUGUCAUUAGUACUGCAUGAUCCUCUUCAUCUUGUUUGUGAUUACUAUCUUCUUAAGCACAAUUGGCAACAUGAUUAUCACCUUUUUAUCUGCACUCAUUUGCAUAAUGGUCGCGUUUGUGGCGGUUAUAACACUCCUCAUUUGAUUUAUUAUACAUGCUUCCUCGUCCUCCGCGCCAAGAGUUAUUUGAACUUGGAUUGUGAUUGGAACCAAUGUUGUUUUACUCAGCGCCUCCAUGAUUCUGGCCACCAUGACCUUUACUGGAAUAACUACCACCACAUCCCCGUGAACUACCGUGUUUAUGAUAGGAGCUACCAAUUGAGGCUUGUGCCUGUAAAGCCUGUUCAAUUGGUUUUUCAAUCUUAUUGUCAUUCAUCUGUUGCUCAUGCGCUCGUAGGGAACCGGACAAUAACCUUACUGUCAUUGGCCUCUUCAAUUGCGGCAACAACAUGUUCAAAUUUGGGAGUUAAAGACCUCAAAAUCUUCUCCACCUUUGCCUACUCCGAAUGUGUUUCACCAUUGGUCUCCAUCUGAUUUGUCAAGGCAAGAACUUUAUUUAUAUAGACAUCAACCGUCUUUGUGGUUUCCAUCUGCAGCAGUUCAUAUUGGCGUCUUAGGGUUUGAAGAUGACAAAAUGAUUCAAGCCUCACUUGCAGUUAUUGAUCCUUCUAUAUGCUCAAACGUCUCGUUAUUCAUCCCUUGAUGGAUGAGAUACAAAGCCUUCUCGUUGCGUCUCAGUUGCAUUAUCAGCUAAUACAGACACUACACUCUCAACGACAUCCCAUAACUCAUGAUAAUCAAACAAAACUCUCAUCUGCACACACCACCGAUUGUAAUAUUUUUCAUCAAGGAUAGAGACUGAUAAUUGGGUAGAGUUUAUGAUAACAAACUGGCUCUGAUACCAGUUGUAGAAACUAAUUGAAGGAAAUAACAUAAGGCAAAAGGUUGUAGAAACAUAUUGAACGUAAUUGCACGAAAUUGCAAAACUGCUGAACUAAUUCAUUCAUUUUGAUUUACUUCAAUAAUAUAUAUAAUAAAAUUACAAAUACUGGAAACUAUAAAAUAGAAAUACUAACAGCUCUGUAAACUGACUAUUAAUACAGUAAUAAUGAUAAAUAAUUUAAAGAUAAUAAAAUCUAAAUUAAUAAUCAACAUUUAAAGCUAAUAAAAUCUGAAUUAAUAACCAACAGAUAAUGAGUUGUGUUAUAAGUUAUGUACACCGAAUUCAAGACCCAAACCAUCCGAUCUAAAAUUAUUAAAUAAUAUUAAUAUUGUAUGAUUUUUAUAUUUCUAUAUAUUAUACCGUUAAUUAUAUUUAAAAUUAAAAAAAAAUGAAAAUAAACUAUCCAAAUGGUAAAAGUAACUCCACACACUUUAACAACACAACACAUUUUAAAUCACUCGUAUCUUUAUGUAACGACUUACUAUCUUUUUAUCUAACCAUCAUUAUUAACAUUAUUUUUUAAAAUCAUAUAUAAAAGUAUGAUUGUCUCUUUCUCACUAGUAAUAAUCACAGUAAUAAAACUAUUAUUCAAUCUACUCAAUUAUUCUAUUGUCUAAAGAUAGGGAACCAAUGUAUCGAAGGUCUAAUUCUCGCGUAAUCAAUUCUUUUUUUAUAGUAAAGUAUUCUUUUCUUCAACAAAUUUAAAUUAUUUAAUAUAAUAAAUUUAUUGAUAAAGUGUUUUUUAUACUUUAAGAUGUGUUAUCAUCAUAUAUAUUAUGAUAAUAAGAAACAACUCUCUUAUAGUUUAGAUCUAAAUUAUUUUUUACCUUGAUAUUAUUUUGAAUAAGAUAAUAAUAAUAAUAAUUUGGAUAAAUCAAUUUAUGUGUGACAAUAUUCUUUGGAUGAAUAUUACUAGGUCCUUAAUUGUUAUAUUACACAUCAAUUCAAGGUGUUUGGGUUUCCUUCUUAUUUCCAUUUAGAUGAAGUUAAGUUUGAACACAAGUCCAAGAAGAAAAUGUUUGUUGGCUAUAGGAUUAGAGUAAAGGGAAGCUUAGGCACAAGUGGAGUUUUCUUUGAAUGAAUCGUCUAAUAGACAUGAGGUUCCUACAGACGAUGCACCCAAAUGUAUAUUGCAACAAUCACCAUGCAUGGGGAGAUUAAGUCUUUAUAGAAGAGUUACACUAGAGAUUUGGGAAUUGGUGAAACUAGCUGAAAGUAGGAACAUUUUUUGUUGUAGGUGGAUACUCAAGAAGAAGAUCACUUCUAGAGCAUCUAAUGGUAGAGAAUCUAGAAUAAAGAUAGUCAAGUCCAAGACUAUAUUGGUAGCCAAGGGCUACAUCUAGAAGGAAGUAGUGGACUGCAAUAUAUGUUCUCUUGAUAAUAGGGUUUUAUUUGUCCUAGCAGUAUUGUUAGACAUAGAGCUUGAAUAAAUUGUUUAGUUCACUGUUUCUCAUGAGUACAUUAGAACUUAUAAUUCAUGUGUCUAUCAUAGAAGAUGGAUAAUGAUGAGUUUGUCUACCUGUAUAUAAGCAACAUGUUGAUACCAUCAUGCUGAAAUCAAAAGGUUGAAGUUAUUACUUGAUAGUGAUUUUGAAAUAAAUGAUGUGCACAUAAUUAAGAAGAUUUUGGAUGGAAAUUAAGAGGAAUUGAGCGUAGAAGAAGCUCAUUACAUGUUAAAGGGGUUACAUAAAAAAAGAUGCUGAGAAAUUUUACAAUUAAAGGUGGUAAAGUCAUGAACACAACUCUUACAACAUCAUACAUCUUUUAAACAUCAAUUCUAGUCAAAAUUAUUCAAAUAAAAAAUACGUGAAUCAUAUUCCUUGUGUUAGAGCAAUGGAAAAUGUAAUAUAUGCAAUGGUGCACAUCAGACCAAAUCUUUUUUAGCCAUCAAUCUAGUAAUUUGAUAUGUGAGGGACCUUAGAAAAGGACACUACAAACAAUGAAAUAAAUUAUUAUAAACUAUCAACACUCAAUUUCUUCCAGGUAAAUAAAAAAUGAUUUCUAAAAUUUGUUAAAUAUACAUGUUCAAUUAAUUUAGAAAAAAUAAAAAAGGGAUUUUAAUAAAAAUAAUAAUAAUCACAAAUUUAUAAUAUUUAAAAAAAAAAUUAAAAAAAAAUUAAUAACAAAUAAAAUUAAAUUAAAAAGAAUAAAUUUUAAAAAAUAUAAAUGUUUAAAUUUCAUUUUACAAAUUACAAAACAAAAACCACCAUUAUUUCUUUUGAUUAAAUUUUAAAUGUUUAAAAUUAUAUUUUAGGUUUUUAUUUUCGUUUUUUUUUAAAUAAAGAAAAAAAGAAAAGUAAACCAUUUUGGACCCAUCCCAUUCUGUUUAACCCUAAAAAAUACGUUGCAAAAUGAAAAUAAAGUCCUUGGCCCAACCCAUUUCAUUUGUUUGCCCUAAGUUUAACCUAUAAGGAGGAAGGGAAAAGGUGAGAGAUUUGUAGGAAGAGGGGUAUGAAGUUCGGACACUCCGUAUAUGUCACACAUAUCGGAUAUCGACACUUGUAUGACACUUAUAGGACGCGUAUCAUCCAAUUCAAAAAAUAUUUGUUAGAUUUCUGACAAUUCUUGCACGAGUCUAACACAAUUUUAAAAAGGAUAAAUACAUUAAUUUUCUAAAAACUCAAAUUUAUAGUAUAAAAUUUUAUUAUGUUUAUAAAAAUAAGGAACAAAUAUUUUUGAACCAUCCAUGAAAAACAUCUUUCUGAGCUCCAAAAAAAUAAAUGAAACAUACUUAGUGCACAUAAAUCUUUAUUGUCAAUUUAUAUAAUUUAUAAUUAUAUAAUAUAUAGAUAUGUGUCCUACACAUUUUAGAAAUUAUACGUAUUUCCGUGUCCGCGUCCGUGUCAUAUCAUUUUUCGUGUUAGUGUCUGUGCUACAUAAGGGGCAGUUAAAGGAGAGCACACACUCUCAGUUACCCCUUUCACUACUCAAAUUUAUUGAUAAAGCGUUUAAAGUGAUGAAAUUAAAAAUGUAUGACGUGUGUGAAAUUAGUGAACCCUAUGAUUGCGCUUUCAAUUUUUGCAAUGGCCCACAUUUUCAUCUCACUCCCAGUAAUUUUAUUAGGAAAAUGUUUUGUUAACACCCUCUGUCAACUAACAUAGACUUGACACCGCAAACGUGGCAUUAGGUGAGGAUGUGGCAGUGAGGUUUUUUGUAAUUCUGAUGGGAGUGAUGUGGCAGUUUUGUAAGAGUAUAAGAGUUUAGUGUUUGAGUGCGGGUGCGAAAGCGGAAGCGAGAGAGUUUUGAACGAAAGGGAAGGUCGAACGAAAGGGAUAAAGAAGCAGCGACCUCGUCGGAGGGAGGGAGGGAAAAAAAAGUGGCGGGAAGCAUAAACCAAGCAAUAGAACAAGCGAAGCACAAACCAUAAACAUCUUUCUUGUGCGGUCGUCGCGGCUUCUGUGUUUGUUGGGCCAUAUAUGACAGUGAUUAGAUGGCUUAACCGGUGUAAUAUAGGUCAUAUAUUACACCGGUUAGAUGGCUUAACCGGUGUAAUGUGGGUCAUAUAUUACACCGGUUAGAUGACUUAACCGGUGUAAUAUGGGCCAUAUAUUACACCCACCCUACCCGAACUGGUUACCCAACCACAGGUUCCUCCACAUGUACUGGCACACACAAAACUGCUUAUCCGUGUGCUUGUAAGUGAUUAUUUCUGUGACAAUUAUGACCCACUCUUCAUGAAAAAAAAAUCAUUUUUUUUUAAUAUGGGCCAUAUAUUACACCCAUGGCAGAAUUGGAUACUCACCCUACCAGAACUGAUUACCCAACCACAAGUUCCUCCAUAUAUACUGGCACACGCAAAAAGUUACACGUGUGUCUGUAAGUGGUUACUUAUGUGACCUUUGUGGCCACGCACUCUUCAUGAAAAAAAAAUCAAUUUUUUUAAUAUGGGUCAUAUAUUACACCCAUGGCAGAACUGGAUACCCACCCUACAAGAACUGGUUACCUAGCCACAAGUUCUUCCACAUGUACUAGCAUACGCAAAACUAGUUACUCGUGUGUCUGUAAGUGUUACUUACGUGACGUUUAUGGCCACUCACUUGUCAUGGAAAAAGAAUUCAAAUUUCUUUUUUAAUAAGGCCCAUAUAUUACACCCAUGGCCGAAUUGGACACCUACCCUAUCAAAACUGGUUACCCAGCCAUAGGUUCCUCCACAUAUACUGACACGCACAAAACUGGUUACUCGUGUGCUUGUAAGUGGUUACUUACGUGACGUUUAUGGUCACUCACUUUUCAUGAAAAAAAAUUCUAAAAGCUUUUGAAUAUGGGCCAUAUAUUACACCAGUUAGAUGGUUUAACCGGUGUAAUAUGUUAUGAGUAAAAAAAUAAUAUUACACCGGCUGUUACAAAGAACCGAUGUAAUAUAUUCUUUUUGCCCUAUUUUAAAGCUCGCGCCUCAUUGUUCAUUCACGUUACUACCUUAUUUUGAAUUUGUCACAUUACCAAACUUAAUCUCACUCUAUCACGUCAUUGUCACGUCUGCAACGUCAAAUGUGUGUUACUGUCAGACGGUGUCAAUAUAUGAGGACUCCUUUUAUUAUUUGCAGCACUCCUUUCUCUUUUUUUUUACUUUGUUUUUUUGACCAUCAGCUUUUUGAAAAUCAUGGGCGCAUUCCGUUUGCCCAGCUGUUCUGCUAUUCGCCACCUGCUUUUAUAUAUUCACAACAUAUUUUUACAAAGGUUUCGUUGGCCCAAUUUCGCUGGUCCAGAAGCUUUGCUAUUCGUCACUCGCUUCUUUGACAUUUGCACUAUUUUUUACAAAAGUCUGGGUCUUUUACUAAAGACUGGGCUCACUCUGCUGGCCGAACAACUUUACUAUUCGUCAUUUGCUUUCUAUAUUUGCACCAUACUUUUACAAAGACUGGGCCCAUUAAGCUGGCCCAGAGUUUUAUAUUUUACCAUAUUUGUACAAAAGCUUGGGCUCAUUUGGUUGGCCCAGCAUUUCCACUAUUUGCCACUUCCUGUGUUUAUUUGUACACUGUUCAGUUGUUAUUUUAUUUAUAAAAGAUAGGCCAGUUUGUUUGGCCCAACUCUCCUACUAUUUGCCACCUAUUUUUUUCAUAUAGAAUCACCAAUGUUUUUUCAAAGUAAACAAAAAAAUUUGAUCAUAAAUUUUAGAUAUAUGUACGAAUGCACACUGCUGUGAUAUUUAAUACAAUUGUUUUAGUAUUUGUGUCAUCCGUACAUAUCAAUUUAUUUUUAGUAAAAAGUUUAUCAUGAAUAAAUUUACAAUUUUAAAAAUAAUAUAUACUUUAAUUAUAGUAAUAAUAAAUGUUUAUUAUGUUUUUAAAACUGUUAAUUUUAAAACUAUUAACACACACAUAAGAUAUUUUACUUCUUAUAUGUUUCUUUACUUAACAUAGUCACCAUAACUUGGUCACAAUACUAGGUAUCAAUGUUUUUUCAAACUUAAACAUUGAAUCACAUACAUUCAUUCAUCAUAUAUCCUAAACUAGAAUAUUACUCUUGUAUUCAAAACAAUAUACUUAUAUAUUGUGAUAACAGUAGUGCAAUAAUCAAUUUAACCCUAUCCAACACUCAAAUGCUAUGCAUUUUGAAGUGAUAUCAUCACUUCUAAAUGAUUACAUUCUGAUUUUUCUUUUGAAAGUGAUUUUUGUUAAGACGGAUCAUCAAUGGAUUGAUAUAUUCACCAAGGUUGCCUAUUGAAAGAUUUAAUUUAUUAAAUAUAAUUCAAAUCUAGGGAUUUUACAAAUGAAUAAUUUGUAUGGUGGAAGUUUGUGUAGGAUUUAAUUUUUACCUUGAGUGACUAACUCUAGAAAGGAUGUCAGUGUAAAUUAAAUGGCAUUGUUGACAAAUGGAUAAAUGUGCACGAACACAAUAAUCAAGGUGGCACUCAGCAGAAAAUAAGGUGGAGGUUUAUGAACAGAUUGAUGGUGACAUAUCUUCUAAAAAUAAUAAGAGAAGAAACACUUUUUAAAAUUCAUAAUUUUCAGAAUUAGUUAUCUUAGAAAAAGUUUUUCACUUCUUCUAUCCUAACAAAAGUGAACUAUCUAUCGCUGUCUUUCUCUUCUCUACAUCUUUCAAAAAGAAUCUAUGGCAUCAAUGCUGAAGAACGAUCCCUUCAAAGAAAAGCCUCCAUCUUUCACAGCUAAAGAUGGAUUUAGAAGAAGUCGUCACAAUCUGUGGUUGGAGAAACACUGUUAGAUAUUUUGUUUUUUAGACUUCACGUAACUGUUUAUUUAUUUUUUCUGUUUCAAUUGUUGAACAAGUCUUUCUAAGUAAUUGUUUGUUAGGCAAAAACACUUCACUUUGUUACUACAAACAUUAUAAAUGUAUUUUUAGCAAAGAUAAUGAAUAUUUUUCUCAGUAUUUUUUUUACUUAAUAUAUUUUCCUUUUUUAGUAUAUGUUUCCCUUUAUUUUGUUGUCCACCUUUUAUUCUACAAUAACAACAAUUGGUACCAGAGCUUUCUUCUUGAGGGAUCUAUGAGGACACUAGAAUGCAUCAUGGAAAGCGAGUCAAAUUUUUCAGCAAUAACACCACCAGUCUUUGAUGGAAAAAACUAUCUGAUGUGGGCAGUUCGUAUGGAGACCUACCUAGAAGCAUUGGAUCAAUGGAAAGUUGUAGUAGAGGACUAUGAAAUUCAGCCCCUUCCAACAAACCCUACUGUUGCCCAAAUGAAAUCACAAAAGGAGAAGAAGACGAAAAAAAAUUAAAGGCAAGCAUGUUGCAGAAGCAUCCCACCGUAUUCACACGCAUUAUGUCUCUCAAAUCAGCCAAAAGCCAUAUGGGAUUAUUUCAAAAUAGAGUAUGAAGGCGAUGAGUGAAUUAAGAGUAUGCAAGUGUUGAACCUCAUUAGAGAUUUCGAGUUACAGAAGAUGAAGGAGACAAAAUCCAUCCAGGAAUAUUCUGAAAGGCUUCUAGACAUUGCAAACAGAGUAAAAUUGUUUGGGUUUAAUUUUAAAAAGUCUCGUACUGUUGAAAAAAUGUUGGUCACUUUUCCUAAAAGAUUUGAGGCUACCAUAACUACCUUAGAAAACAUCAAGGAUCUGCCUAGUACAACCUUAACAAAGUUAUUAAAUUCUUUACAAACAAAAAAGGGCUAUGAGGGAAUCAGUGACUGUUGAGGAAGCUUUACCAGCCAAAUAUGAAGGUGGAUAGAGAAACAAAGGUAGUAAGAAUAAGCAAAACUAGUAAGAAAAUAGAGAAUUUGUUGCACACAAUAACAGCAAGAGCCAAAGAUUCCAAAAGAAAUUAUCCUCUUUGUAAGCAUUGCAACAAGUUAGGUCAUCUAUCGUUUAAGAGUUGGAGAAAACCUGAUGCUAAGUGCAACAAGUGCAAUCAAUUUGGGCAUGAAGCAGUCAUUUGUAGGAACUAAAGUCAGCAACAAUAUGUAGAUGCUCAAAUUGUAAAUGAGGAGGAGGAUGGAAUUUUCGUUGCAACUUGUUUCACUAGUAAUGUUUCAAGUGAAUCUUGGCUAAUUGAUAGUGGAUGCACAAAUCACAUGAAUUAUGACAAAGAACUUUUCAAGGAGUUGAAGCCUUAAAAAAUUUCAAAGGUCAAGAUAGGGCAUAGAGGUCACAUUUCAUUAAAAGGAAUAGGAACCAUUUUUGUAGCAACAUAUUUAGGUACUAAAAGUAUUACUGAUGUGUCAUAUGUACCUAACAUAGACCAAAAUUUAUUGAAUGUUGGUCAGUUGCUACAAAAAGGCUUCAAGGUGUUUUUUUUAUGAUAACCAAUGUUUGAUCAAGGAUGCUACAUGACAAAAUUUGUUCAAGGUAAAAAUGAGAGGCAAAAGUUUCUCAUCAUAUCUAUUUCAGGAGGAGCAAACAAUAUUUUCAGCAAAGGAAAAUAAUGUUGAGAUAUGGCAGAAGAGGCUUAGGCAUUAUCACUAUCAAGGGCUUCUCAAGAUGCAAAAUCUGAAAUGGUAAGGGACUUGCUUGACUUUGAAAUACUUUCUUCUAAUUGCCAUGCUUGUCAAUAUGGAAAGCAAAGUAGAAUUCCAUUUCCAAUAGCUACUUGGAGAGCAAAAAUGAAGCUACAGCUGAUUCAUAUUGACUUCAAGUCAGAGGUUGCAAGCAUUUUUUGGAAGUUCAAAGCAAAGGUGGAAAAUGAAUCUGACUGCAAAAUUCAGACAUGAAGGUCUGAUAAUGGAAAGGAGUAUACUUCAUAUCAAUUCAACUCCUUUUGUGAUGAAGCAGAAAUAGAACAUCAACUUACAGCUCCUUAUGCUCCAGAACAAAAUGGAGUAAGUAAGAGAAAAAAUAGAUUCAUUAUGGAAGAUGAUCCACCAAUUAGAGGCACUCGAUUACUCUCUAAGAUAUAUCAGAGAUGUAAUGUUGCAAUAUGUGAACCUGUUGAUCAUGAAGAAGUUAUCAAUGACCUAGAGUGGAAAAAGGCAAUGGAAGAGGAGUUGUAUAUGAUUGAGAAGAAUAAAACUUGGGAGCUUGUUGACAUACCUUGAGAUAGAAGGGUACAUCAAAUGGAAGUCAAGUCAACAUUCCUAAAUGGAUUUCUUGAAGAGGAAAUUUAUGUUGAGCAACCUAAAGGUUUCAUUGUGGAAGGAAAAGAAGACAAAGUUUAUAGUUUAUCUAAAGCUCUUUAUGGCUUAAAACAGGCUCACAGAGCUUGGUAUAGCUUAAUAGAUGAUUACCUUAUUAGUUUAGGCUUUGACAAAAGUCUUUUAGAAUCUACACUUUAUGUCAAAUCCAAAGGUGUUGAAACUCUUGUCAUUUCACUAUAUGUUGAUGACCUUUUGAUUACAGGGAGCAAUGCAGAGCUUAUUAAUGAUUUCAAAUUAAAUAUGAUGCAAGCUUUCAAAAUGACUGGCUUGGUCUAAUGAUUUUUUUUCCUUGGAAUGGAGAUUAAGCAACGUGAGAAUGAGUUUUUUAUUUGUAAAAAAAAAUAUGCAAGGGAGAUUUAAAAAAAAAAUUCAAAUUGAAAGAUUGCAAGCAGGUCAAUACUCCCAUGAAUAAAAAAGAAAAACUAAGCAAGGAUGAUGGAGUUGAUGCAGUAUAUGAAACAUGUUACAAAAGUUUUACUGGUUGUUUUAUGUAUCUUACAAAAACAAGGCCAUAUAUAUUGUAUGUUGUGAGUGUUCUAUCUAGAUUCGUGCAUUGUCCCAACGAAGAACAUCUGAAGGUAACAAAGAGGGUUGUUAGGAAAAGUACUUCAGGGUACUGUUUUAGUCUUGGCUUAGGAAUUUUUUCAUGGUGCUCAAAGAAACAAGAAACUAUAGUGUAAUCUACAGCAGAAGCUGGAUUUAUUGUUGCUACAGUUGCUCUUAACCAAGUCUUGUUGUUGAAGAAAAUUAUAAUUGAUCUUAUAGAGUAGAAGGGAAGUACGAAAGUUUUUGUUGACAAUCAAACCGCAAUAGUUAUUUCUCAUAACCCUGUCUUUCAUGGGAAAGCCAAGCAUUUUAACAUUAAGUUCUUCUUAAGGGAGAUACAAAAAGAUAGAGUUGUUGUUCUUGUUUAUUGCAAAACCAAAAACCAGGUUACAAAUUUGUUUACCAAGCCACUUCCAGCCAGCAAGUUUGAGUUCUUAAGACAAAAAAUUGGAGUUUGCAGUUCAAAAAUCAAUGAGAAGUGUUAGAUAUUUUGUUUAUUGAACUUCACGUAACUCUUUAUUAUUUUUUUCUGUUUCAAUUGUUGAAUAAGCCUUUCUUAGUAACUGUUCCUAAACUUUAGGAAAACCAUUUCACUCUGUUAGUGCAAGCAUUAUAAAUGUAUUGUUAACAAAGAUAAUGAUAUAUUUCUCUAUUUUUUUUUGCACUUAAUAUAUUUUCCUCUUUUAGUAUUUUAUUCCCUUUAUUUUGUUGUCUACCUUUUAUUCUACAAUAGAAACAAACACCAUCAACAAAUGCUCUAGUAUAUGCAAGCAUAUGCAAGAAUAUAUCCUUCAUCACUACUCAUUGAUGAACCCUACCCGUCUAAGGGUAGAAGAGAUCAACAUGCCAAUUGAAGAAUAAUACUCCACAAAAGUCCACUCUUGAUACAUACGUCCAUAGAGAGCCCCAAAAUUAGAUUGUACCCAUUGCGCCCAACCACCCUUCUGCAACACUCCAACCUUAUCAUGGUACACUCAGAUUCAAACAGAACCAAAACUUUUGUUUAGAGCCCCCAUGAGUCUGGCUGAGAUUAUUGCAUAUUUGUAGUUGAUCACUACAUGGUUCAAGUAGAUAAAGACUCAGUCCACUCCUUGGAUAACUUUUAUAUAUCUUCAAAAUCCAUCAGAUAGCGAAGAUUUUGAUGACUGGAAAUAAUAUGAAGAUGUUUGUGCCCUAUAGAUGACGACAAAAAGAAUAUACAAAGAAGGACUCUAAAGACAAUAGGUCCUGCAAAAAAAUUCAACAUCGUUUGAAAAGAAAUUGUUUUGCUUUUGGCUCAGUGCAUCACUGCACCUCCUUCAACCUCUUACAUGUUCCCUAUAAAUCAGCCACAUACGCAAGUCCCUUCCGUCUUUAUAAAGGUAUAAAGGUUUUGUGAAACGGAGAUGAAUAAGUAUAUCAUCUGAGCAAGGCAUCUCCAAGUUGGCCAAUACAUAGCAUGAUGGUAUCCCUUAUGGAGACUAAGCUUUGGACGUCCUUGCUUUUGUUUCAAUUAUUCAAGUUCAAUGUUGAUGCAAUCCUAGCUUGCAUUACUAUGAGUCUUUUUGUUUUGUAUUUUGGGGUGAAAAAUUUGGUGGGAUUGGGUGGCUAAAUGGGUGAAAGAAAAUGUGAAAUAUUGGUGUAUGGAGAAUGAUAAUGAAGCUUAAGAGAGGUUAGGCCAACUCCUAAGAAGAUUCAAGCAAAACACUAAUAGAAGUGCAAACUUGAGAGUGAGAAUUUGAAGACAAAGAAGAUAGCAACUUGGGCAACAUUUCUUGAUCAAUCCAAAUCUAAUUUACAAGGGGGCUAACACUUGUAUUUAUAGUGCUAAGGGCAGUCAAGGUGCAAGCUUUAACCCUAAAAAAACUCUUCAGAUGGUCUAGAGUUGCAUUGGGUCCAAGGAGGCCCAAUUGUAACUCUAGCUAGACUCUUUCUUUUUUUCUAUUUACACCCUACUCUAAUUUGAAAAAUUGGCCUAAAACAUGGCCCAAGAUAAUGGCUGAAAUACAAGCCCAAAAUAAAACCUAUACUACUUUGUACAAAUUUAUAAGACUAGGAAAUUUGGAAGAAAAAGUUAAAAAUUAAUUCUCCAUAAAAAUAGAGUUUUGUGAACUUCUUUUUCAUCUUCUUCCAUUCUUCUAGCCAUGACCCUAGUUAAAGGCCCAAUAUGUGUCCUUCCGGAUGGUUCUCCAUCAGACCCUCCCUCUUGAAAAGGAUCUGUCCUCAGAUCCUGAAUGAUGUUCAAUGACAUCAACAUCUGUUUAUUUGUUAUUUUCCCCUUGAAUCAAAUGUCAAUCUACAAUAGACAUCAAACAAAUAUGAGAUAAUUUUCUUUAUUAAAAUAAAAUUAAAACAAAAGAAAAGAAAACAAAAAUAAGGUCCUUUAUUUUUAUAAUUUUUUUUAAAGAAAAACAUAAGACCUUUUUCAAAAAUAUUUUCGUUCACUUUGUGUUGUUUAUUGCCCAGGCUAAGCAACAACAUCACAAAGCAUUGUUUCUUAUAUUUUUGUGAAGAUGAAUGAGCAUUAUAUAAUUGAAAAGAAGAGUUCAAAGUAUUGCAAUCCCCUUUUAAGGACAUUUUCUCAAUUAUGCUUGCAGGGGGUGUCAUACGAGACUCUUCUUCUUUGCUUUUCUUCUUCCUUUUGAAUCAAACAUUCACUUGUAUAUUCUGUGGAGGAACAAUUUAUAUCUAUAUCUGGUUCAACUCAAGACACAAAUUUUUCUUCAAGAACUUCCUCACAUGGUUUGUUUAUAGAAGGAAAAAUGUUAUCAAUAUCUUGUUUAGCUCUAGGCAAAGACUUUCUAUUCUUUCCUUUUUAUCAUCACUUUCUCUCUCUUUUCUUUCUCUUUUCUAUCUUUCCUUUCGUUCUCCUCUCUUUCUCUUUUUUCUUUCUCUUCUUUCUUUUUGACAAGAGCUUGUAUUUUUUCUUUAAACUCUUUUUCUCUUCUAGCGUAUUUGUUUUCUCAGUUUACAAAUUUUCUUCCUAUUCUAACAAGCUCUUUCAUUUCUUCUCUAAGCUUUCUUUUUCAAUCAUAUGAAGGCGGAAUAAAUUUUCUUCUCAUACAUGCCUUUACAUCACUCCAAUACUCUACUUUUGAUGUUGUACCAAUUAUAUCAUCAAGUUGCCUUUGUUGCAACCAUGACCUGGCAUAUUCUUGAAAACAUAAGGUAGCCAAGAAAAAUCUAGUAUAUUCAUCCACUUUAUAUUUCUUAAAAGUUUGAUCAAGCUUUGUCUCCCAUUCUAAAUCUUCAACAUUUUUGUUUCCACCAAAGUAGGGAAUGUAUACUUCAGGAUUUGUAGAAUAAUAUAAACUUAUAGGCUCAAAACAAACCCUUUCCUUUCUUUGAUAAUAAGUUAUAAAUCUUUCUUCUAUGAAUAGGUCUUUCUUCUUCAAACCUUUUGUCCUUAUUUUUGUUGAGAACCAUUUUGCCAAACAUUUCUUUUAUCUCAUCCCAUUUUCUAUCUUUAUCUUCUCUCAAAAUUCUAUUCUCCUCUCUCCACCCAUAAGCAUCUUCUUCUUCUAUAUUACUUCCUUGUACACUUGAUGCAUGUAAAUGAUCACUCAUUUUGAAAUUAAAUAGAAAUGAUUUUCACAAUUUUUUUUCUUUCAAAUGAGCGAUAAAAUAUUUUCACAAAUAGGUUUUAGACUUGGUGAAGUUUCAAUCAAGGUCAACAAGUCAAACUGUCUCCAAGUUCACUCCCAGGAAAGAGAGGCGAGUCACUAGGACUGCUUAAAUACCAAGUCUUCCCUUAACUAGAGCUUAUCUCGAAUAGUCUUAACAGAGUGUUUCCCCAAAAGAAACUUCAAAACAAAUUUCCCCUAAAUGUGAUGUAUGCAAGGCCUCCUAGUGAUCAAAAGAUGAUCAACUACAAACGGAGAGCAAUCACCUAGGUAUCACAGAGACUUAGAAAAAAAAAGUAAACUAGACGUGUCCUAUGUGAAAGUACAAGUAACACUUUGAGCCCCUUGACACACUUUCACCAACUAAUGAACAAAUUUGAUUAUUACAAUGUCUUAAUGGGAUUGCUUCGAGAGCAUUUUUCCCAAACACAAAGAAAGCAAGAAAAUUAAAUACACAAAAAGAACUAAAAAGGUUUCGUGAUACAAAGCUAAAAAUAAAACAAUUUUUUUAUGAAUUUCUUUUCUUCAAGUUGUCAAAUUUUUCCUUUUCUUUAUAUGAACUUGAUUCUUGUCUUCAAUCUCUGCCCUCUCCAAAUAAUCAUUGUUUUUAACCUUAACCAUGACUCAUCAAGUAGAAAUUAGCUUCACAACUUCAAAACCAAACUUCCACUCAAUAUGAAUUUCACCUUAUGAGGCCAACAAGUAAAAAUCAAGAAAAGCUUAAUUAAAAUUGCUAAACUCAAAUAGAUUAAUUUGAAAACUGCAAGGAGUAUUUUAAGACACAAAUCAACAAUUAAAGCUAACAAAACCAGUGAGUACUCAAAUAGGAAACCUAAGAAUAGUACUAGAAUAGAUUUCAAAAGAAAAAUUCUAGAAUGAAACAGACACUGAAACUUCUAAAAUUUGUGAAACUUCAUACAAAAAAAUUUUUUGUAUGAAACUUUUAUGUGAGAAUCUAAACACAAUAGUUGAUAAAAUUUGUUUAGGUCAAACUGAUCUCUAUUCUGAGAGAAAUAAAUCAAACACUUCAGUACCAGUAUUCAGAGAUUGAAACUGUUUUUCAACACUGACAAAGAUGAUUCAAAAAUUUACUAGGGAAAUAUUAUAAUGAAUUUGAAUCUGAAACUUUUAUCCCAACUCCACAACACAUCAAGAAAUUUUUGAUAAAAAGUUUAGGUAAAAAAGCCCAAGGAAUAAGGUGCAGUAAAUUUUAUAUUGAGAGCAACACCACACUGAAACUAUUUUUUUCUGGGCUGAAAACGUCCUAACUUUUACGGUUUAUAACUUUUUUUCUAUUUUCUUUUUGGAUGUUAUUUUUUAACUGGACACCAACAAAAUCUCAAUAGGGUUCUGUGAAUUUUUUUCAGAUAUUUUUACCAAAAUAAAAACCCACAAUAAAUUCUCACAACAGAGACAAAAUUUCACAAAAACUGAAAAAGAAGAAACCUAAGGGAUUUGAAAAAAAAGAAUUGAAACUCAAGACAUAGUAGAAACCUAACUCCAAUGAACUUGUUAAUGAUCUAAUAAAAAGAUAAGAGACUCAAAAAAUAAAAAGAAAAGCACACAAAAGGCACAAAAAAACUCAAACCACAUGGAUAUUCAUUGUAAAAAUAAGAAACAAAAAGUCAAACAAAGGACUACUUGAUUUUAUGACAUAUAUGGAAACAACAUGACUUUAGACAAAUAGAAAUGGAUCAUAAAAUAAAAAGGAAACCAACAUACCAUUUUUACCAAAAGAAAAUAAAAGAAGACUCAAAAAAAAAAAAAACACACAAGAUAAACUAAAAAAGAACUCCUAAACACCAAUAUAGAUGGUUCAAGAAAGAACAAAUUAUUUUAACCGAUUAAACUAAACAAAAACAAAUUUAGAGGGUGGAAACACAUUUAAAACAAAUUCAAGACAUUUUAAAAAAUGAGGAACAACAAGGAAAUGGAAGAACAAAAGUUAGAACAACUUAUCUAUUGAAGACCGAAGCUCUUGAUACCAAAUGAUACAAUCCUAGCUUGCAUUUCUAUGAGUCUUUUGUUUUGUAUUUUGGAGUGCGGAAUUUGGUGGGAUUGGGUAGCUAAAAUGGGUGAAAGAAACUGUGAAGUAUUGGUGUAUGGAGAAUGAUAAUGAAGCUUAGAGAGGUUAAGCCUAUUAAACCAAGUGUGUUCAAGCUUUGAAGAAUCCAAACCCUUUGAAGGAUGAUGAAAGGCUAGCUGUGCUUGUUGUUGUUGGGUUGUCUUUUAGUUAGGAUCUGGGGUAGAUUUUAUGUAUAAUCCACUCUUGAUUGAAUCCAAAGCAUAAGCAUUCUCAAUCCUUUUAAAAGAAAAGUGUUUUUCAAACUAAGUAAAAAACAACCUGUUGUUUGGUCGAAACAACAAAUUGUUUUAUACUUAUGAGUUUUUAGAAAGGUUGAAAACUGUUUUCAUUGGUUGACUUGCUGUUAAAACCAAAACAACCGAUUAAUUUGUGGAAACAACCGAUUGUUUGUUUUGGUACCAUAACAGAAAACUGUUUUGUGCUUUGACUGAGCAUUAAAUGAUUUACUAACUGUUUACGCUCCAGUUCUUAAUGCUUUGACCAAUCUUUAAAUGCAAUGACUAGUUUGUUAAGAUUUGAUAACAAACAACAACUUUGAAUAUAUACAGAAAAACAGUUUUGAGUUUUUCAAGAGUUUUUGAGAUUUUGAAAAGUUGAGAAUUGCUUAGAGAUUGCAUUGAUCAAAGAGUGUGAGAUAGGAUUUUCAUCUUGUAUUGAUUUCAGAUUUGUUCUAUAACAAGUGUAAUCCUUUGUAUCUUUUCAAAGAAACCUUGUGUGUUUGCUGAGAAGUGUUGCGUGUUCUUGAGGGGAUCAAGAUUGUUUCGUCCGGUUGACCGGGACGUCUUCGUGCGUGGCCUCAACCGUCAGCUAAGGACUCCUUCCCACUGAUUGCCUGCGAAUUCCUGCAAAAAAGAGGACAAAGAGGCGCCCUAGCGGCCGUUUGCACUCCGACGCUCAAGUCAGCCAGCAAGAAACACCAAAAAACUGUCCACCCACGUAUCUGAGCACCGCGUAUGGCACUCUGCGGGUGGUAAAAGAAACUGUGUAUAUGUGUGUGUGCUGUCCCCUUUAGGCAAAAAUCUUCUCCGGUCACUUGUACGUAACCUUAAAGCACGGGCAAGCAACCAAAGAGUUUCUCGUCAAUUUGCCCAAGGUUCCAACCCUUUUUCCGACAUUCUCAGCGCUAUUUAAACUGCCCCAGCAUUUAAAGCGCCUUAAAGCGCUUUUACACUCAAACGUAACGCACUCAUUAAAGCGCUUAAUUACGAAACGUAACGCAUUUAAGACGUUGAAACGCUUGGGAGCCAUAAUAGUACCUGAAUGCACAAAAGGGAAACUGUAUUGAAUAUCUUUAAUUACCUGGCACCUGACUUGAGGGUGUUUCUAUUCCGGCAUUGCUGUCAUACACGUGGAGGGCCUCACGACGCCUUGACCCCAUCUGGGGGCGUUUCUGCCCAUCUGGGGACGUUUCUGCGUGUGGGUCCUCCUGCUUGGGAGUGCUACUGCGCUAGGGGUGGCUUUUUGGGUGCCAACUCAUGCCCCCAAGUAUCUAGCCACUUACUCUGAGAGCGUAUCUGCCUUCCUCUCACACCCUGCACCCGGUUAUCCUGGGCGUGACCUUCCUCUUGGGUCGUAUCUGUCCCGAAGGCGUCUCUGGGGCGGCAGGGGUACUUCGCGAGUCAGGCUGCCCUUUACUGGUACUAUCACUAUGGCCUUGGAGCCACCUUUUUCUUCUCUUUAUCACUUUCCCGAGAUAUCGGGACCUGAGGCUUUCCCACGACGUCGCUCCCUCCAUGGUCUUUCCUACCCAUGGGUAUCGGGGAACCACACCGUGAUUGCCUUGCUUUUACACUGUUUAAUCUGGCGACGCCCUCACCUGGGCGAUGCCUUCACCUAGGCGACGCCUUCACCUAGGCGACGCCUUCGCCUAGGCGACGCCUCCUCUUGGCGUCUCUACAUCUGGGCGACACCUCGAGCUGACUUUGACUUUCUAGUCGUUGACUUUGACCUUGACUUAGUCAACGCCCUGAUACGGGACGGUACAAAGAUCAACAUUCUUAGUAUUGUUGUGCUGAACCAAAGGGAGUGUGUGUCUUGAGGGGAUCAAGGUCACUUCUUUGGUUGUGUUGUAAGUAAUCUAGGGUUGAUUACUUAGUGAAUUCCCCAGUGGUUUCUGGGAAGACUGGAUGUAGCUCUGGGUUUAGAGUGAACCAGUAUAAACUUCUGUGUACAUUUUCUCUAUCCUUAACUCUUUAAUUUCAGUUUUGAUAUUUGUGAACUGGUAUAAACAACCGAUUGUUUCUGCGAAACAACCGAUUGUUUUUCUGGUGCUGUGUUUUUUGCUUUGUGUUUUGGCAAACUGAUUUCCUCAUCAACUGUUUCUCAAAGUAAUUUCAUUCUUGACAUAAAAGUUUGCGAAAACCCUCUUUAAACCAUUCACCCCCCUCUAGUUUAAAGCCAUACAUUCUAACAAAGCCAACUUCUAAGAAGAUUCAAACAAAACACUAAUAGAAGUGCAAACUUGAGAGUGAGAAUUUGAAGACAAAGGAGAUAGCAACUUGUGCAACAUUUCUUGAUCAAUUCAAAUUUAAUUUACAAGGGGGCUAACACUUGUAUUUAUAGUGCUAUGGGCAGCCAAAGUGCAAGAUUUAACCCUAAAAAAACUCUUCAAAUGGUCUAGAGUUGCAUUGGGUCCAAGGAGACCCAAUUAUAACUCUAGCUAGACUUUUUUUUUCUAUUUACACCCUACUCUAAUUGGCAAAAUUGGCCUAAAACAUGGCCCAGGAUAAUGGCCGAAAUACAAGCCCAAAAUAAAGCCUAUACUACUUUGUACAAAUUUAUAAGACUAGGAAAUUUGGAAUAAAAAGUUAAAAAUUAAUUCUCCAUAAAAUUAGAGUUUUUUGAACUUCUUCUUCUUCUCCCAUUCUUCUUGUCAUAGCCCUAGUGAAAAGCCCAAUAUGUGUCCUUCCGGAUGGUCCUCCAACAAAUGCAGACUUUACAAGUGGUCUUGAACUUGAAGACUGACCUCUCCAAUGUGUCAAAACUCUUCCUUCCUUCCAUACCUUAUGUUGACAUCGAGUUCGUUCCUUCCAGUACAACAAUUUGCACUAUCCAAAUAGAGUACGUUUAUCCUCUUCUCGUAUACACAUUCAUAGUGGUUUUACCCACAUGUCGUACGCUAUUCUGCCACACGUUAAAAGACACCACCCUUUUAUUGAUGCUUUCUAAAAAGAGGGAGAGUAAAGAGGAAGGAGGAGCCAAGAGGGUCUUGAAAAGAAGAAGGUUAUGAUAAGGCUCAAAACCCAUGUCUAGCUUACUAUUUAAUCGUCAUUUUGUUUAAAUUGAGCCUGAAAAAAAGAAGAGACGAUGUUAUAGAUGAAUCUUCAAACGAUGCUUGUUUGAGGGGAGCUUCUAAGAAGAAGAAAUAAGAAUUUUCAAAAAGUGCAACCUGAAAAGGCUCACAAGCUUAUGGAGAGCCUUUAGAAGAAGAAGAUGAACAAGCCAAGUAGAAGCACCCAUCUAGUGUCUACCACUGGUAGAUGCUUGUCAAAAUUUGCAACUUAGAGGGCAUCCAAUUAUGAUGAGUUGUAAAUUUCGAUAACCCCUGCAACCCAUGGUUGAUGUCAAAGAAGAUGUUGCUCAGUGCUGAAUAAAUCAACCAAACUAUUUCUUUCUCUUUUAUUAUAUGCUUCUAUACUUGUAAUCCUUUCAUGUUUAUCUUUAUUGAUAGAGAAAAACACCAAUACCUUGUUUAUUGAUUAAGUGGUUAAAUACAACAAAAUUUAGAACUUAAAACAUGAAAAAGUUGCAUAUGAUAAACACUAAUAACAUCAUGAAUGCAUGUGCUUUGUUUGACAUAUGAUAGAGUACCAUUCUAAGUUUCACUACAUCUGAUAAAUAAAUAAUUGUUGAUUAAAUGAUAAAUGAAAAUCAAGACUUUAACCUAACUUGAACUCAAAGAAUAUUCCUAAAGCUUAAGUUUGUAAUGUAGAUAUUAUCUUCACCAUUUUUUGUCAAGAGAUUCAUGUCAAGUUCAAAGCUUCAUUAAAAUAUCUCUUGGAAUUCAAACUAAAGCUAUAAUGUCUGCCAACUUCAUCAAACACAAGCAUAUGUCAAUUCUGGCUCAGAUAUCUUCCCAAUACAAUGCAAAUUCUUAUCACUCAUUGAAGUAAAAAGCAAUGCAACCUAGGAAGAUAAGUAAUUUCAACUAUCACGGAAGUUUUAUAAUGAAGAGAAGAACAAUUAAUGUUUCUUGCAACACAUUUCAUACUUUUGAUAAAUGCCAAAUUUCAGUAAUAUUUCAUAUUAAAAUAUAGGCACUUAUGAGUGUCGUUCCAUCUUUUUUAAAGAUUGGAAUAUUUUGUUCCAUCUUAGUAAGGUCAUCCUCCUUUAGUGUCGUAGAACACAAAUCUUUAAAAAAAUGACUUACCUCGGUAGUGGGAUUUAGAACAUGAGUUGGUAAUGAAAUAAAUGCUAUUGGAAGUAGGCAUUCCAUGAAUACAUGACAAUCAUGACUUUUCGUUCUAAUCUCUUUUCACUGACAUCAGCACAUCUUGCCAAGUUAGAAGAAUAUCCAUCAGGCAUCCUUAGAUCUUUUAACCAUUGACACAUAUGUUUUAUUUGCUCAGUUGUAAGUGUGUAAUUUGAUUUUAGCUUGAAAAUCUUUCCAUUAGGAUGUGACUUCAGUUCAAGUCUUUUUGCCUACAAUACAGACUUAAGUCCAUUUGUGCUUUCUCAUUAUCCUUUGUCUUUCCAAUAACAUUCAUCAUAGUGUUAAACAUGUUAUCGAAGAAUUUUUUUUUCAAUAUCUAUAACAUCAAGAUUAUGUCUUAACAUAUUGCCUUUCCAAUAUGGAAGAUCCCAAAAGAUGUUUCUUUUUGUUCAAUUAUGCCACUCCCCAUAACUAUGUAUUCUUUGCACACCACUUUCAAUUACUUUAGGAUAAGUCUUCACUCUAUUCCAAACUUGUGUAGGUGUCAACUUAGGUAGUGGAGGAUCCAUGCCAAUUUCCCCCUUCUUGAACACAUUCUUGUUCCUUUUAAAUGUAUGAUCAUUUGGUAAAAAUCUAUGAUGUGAGUCAAAUCAAGAAUUUUUUUCUCCCAUGAUGUAAACUAAAGGCUUUCGAAUGCUCCAUGCAAUGUGGGCAUGCCAAUUUAUGAUGAAUUCCCCAACCAGGCAACAUACCGUAAACAGGAAAAUCAUUAAUCGUCCACAUUAAAGUUGCCCUCAUCAUGAUGUUUUUUUUCCUUGAAAUAUCAUAUGUUGGGACACCACUCCACAAUUUCUUCAAUUUAUCUAUCAAAGGCUUUAAAAAUACAUCAAUACCAACAUUUGGAUUAAAUGGCCUUGGUAUGAUACAACUGAAAAACAUACAAGGUUUAAACAUUCACAUUUAUAAAGGAAGAUUGUACGGGGUCAUAAUUAAUGGCCAACAUGAAUAGGGUGCAAUUAAAGCUUGUACUUAUGAGUUAAAACCAUCAGAGCAUAAACUCAAUCGCACAUUGCGUGCCUCCACAGAAAAAUCGGAAUAUACUCUAUCAAAGUGUUUCCAAGCCUCACCAUCACAUGGAUGACGCAAAACACCAUUAGUGCUUCUGUUAUCAUAGUGCCAUGUCAUUUUUUUCGUAGUUUGUGUUGAAGCAGACAUUCUUUGCAACCUUGGAAUUAUUGGGAAAUAGAACAUUGCCUUUACAAGAACUGGUAUUUUGUUACUUGUUCCCGUGUUGUGGUGACGAUACCUUAUGUCAAAACUUGCAUUCAAGCAAUGCUACAUCAUUUUUAUCGUAUUCAUUAUCAUAGAAGAGCAUGCAGCCAUCCACACAACAAUCAAUUAUUAGCCUUUAAUCCCAUCUUCGACACUAACCUUUU